GAAAUAAUGCUAUCAUCCACUGAAUGCAACUUUGCAAGGCCAAAAUCUGAAAGUUUAGGAUUAAAGUUUCCAUCUAAUAGAAUGUUAUGUGGCUUGAUGUCAAAAUGUAAAAUCUUCAUAGCACAACCGUUAUGUAAAUAUUCAAUACAUCGACCAACUCCAACUACUAUCUCAAACAUCUUUUGCCAACUCAAGCUGCUAUUUGUUGAAAAUAUAAAUUUGUCUAAAGAGCCAUUUGUCAUGAAAUCAUAGACAAGAGCUUGUUUUUUCCCCUCCACACAAAAUCCAACAAGUUCCACCACAUUCACAUGAUGAAUUCUUCCGAUAGUUGCAACUUCAUUGAUAAAAUCUUGGCCAUUACCUUUCGAUUCCUUUAACAAUUUUACUGCAACAAAUUUACCACUUCAAAGUUUGCCUUUAAACACGGUACCAUAACCUCCGUCACCUAAUUUAUCCUUGAAAUCUCCUGUUAUUUUCUUUAAUUCAGCAUAUGAAUAUCUUAUAGGCAUAAAAUUUAUUUGACUUUGAAGAAAGUUCUCAAUCGCAUCAUCUACUGACAAAUGUCUUCUUCUUAAUUUGUAUAUAAUAAGAGUAAUCAAGCAACAUAUCCCCAAAAAUGUCCUCAUCAGUAACAUCCCUGUUUUUCAAGAAAAAAAAAAUCAAGCAACACCAUAAUUCUAUACGUAGUUUUUACUGUUCAUAUCAUAAAGGUUUUGUGCUUUUCAAUUUGUUUCAUUUUAUAUCUAUUUUUACUUUUAAACUUUUUCUUUAUAUAAAAGUGAGACAAAAGAUACACGUGAUGGAGACUAAUUAAGCAAAUUCAUUAGUAUCAUAGAAGUACAGAUCUGCGUACCUGUUAUUGCAAGGAAAGGAAUUUGGAAGACUGUUAAAAGACAUACAAGAAAUAUGUGUUACAUGAAUGUCUGGUAGGAAAGUAAAGGCAAAUCCUUUAAUAAAAAAAUAUAUGUCAAUAACCAUAAUGUGAUCUGUUUGUAUGGUGUUAAACUCUUAAUCUUAAUUAUGAAAGAUUAACCUUGGUUAUUUGAACUAAUAUUCAGCAUGUUACAAAAGGUGCCAAUAAGGAUGAGGAUAAGGCAGUUUUGUCUACAUUAGUUUUAGACCUCCAUAGCUUUUCCUAAUUUGGUUUCAAAACUGUUUCCCAACUUAACCAUUCAUAUGGAAUGAGAUUUGAUUUUUUUUUCUUUGUUUUAGUUUUUUGAGAUAUUUUCAAAAUUGGUCUCUCAAAUUUUAUCAGAUUUUUAAUUUAACCCCAUCUUAUUUUAAUUUUUUUAAUUUAGGGGAACGUUUGUCUUUUUAAUUUGCAGAAUAGGCCCCUCAACUUUUUUCAGGCUUAAUUUGUUUUUAUAAGGAAUUAUUAUUCCAAUUUGAACUCAUUACAAAGAUUAUAAUUAUUAGUAUAAAAAAUUACUUAUAAUAUUUUUUAAAAUAUACAUCUAUUUAUUUUUAAUUGAAAUGAUUAUUAAUCUUAUAAUUGCUAUAAAAAUGUACUUACACUAAUUUUUACAAUAAUUCUAAGUCUGGACCGACUUAAAAAAUAGGCCUAAAAUUUUGCUCAUGCCUAGUCUAGAUAAGAAUGCUAAAACCUAAUCCUGACCUGUAUUAAAAAUUUUAAUAUUAUUUUUAUAUAAAAAUAAAUUUAAAAAUAUAAUAAAAUAAAUACACUAAAAACAUUAAAAUAAAUAUUUCCCAACAAAUUGAAAAAAUUAACAAUAAAAUAAAAGUUAUACAAUAUCUAAAUAAUAAUAAUAAUAAUAAUAAUAAUAAUAAUAACAUAGUAGCAAUAUAAUAGUGAAAUUAGAGACGAAUUUAGGGGGGUUCGCAAGGGCCCAACCCCCCUAAAAUGUAAAAUUGCUAUUUAGGCCCAAAAGUUUUAAAAUAGUAAAUGUAAAAUUACACUUUGCCCCCUAAACUUAUAAAAGUUCGAUUUAACCCUUUAAAAAUUAUAAAGAUAUAGACUACAAAAAAUUAAAAUUUCAUUCGACCUCCUUAAUUUGUUCUGGCUUCACCCCUGAGUGAAAUGACAGUAAAAUAGAGACAAAACAGCAAAAACAGCAGCAUUUUUUCUUCUGCAAAUUUAGGAACAGCAGCAAUUUAUCUUUCGCAAAUUUGGGUUGAGCCAAAAAAAUUUACCCAAAGUAUGACCCGUUUAGAAAAUGUAUCUUAUUUUUUUUUAUUCAUACCUAUUUUUUUAAGCUUAUAUUUUUGUACAAAUUCUCUUACUUUUUGGACGAAUUUUCAGGAUGGGUCAGCUGACCCGAUGCAUGGUAAGUGUACAUACAACUAGAAAUAGGAAUGUACAGGAAGACCAAAAAAUUUAAACAAAUUUCUGAGGAUCUCUUUUUGCUGUUUAACUGGCUGUCCUUAUGUGUACAAAGUAUUAAAUUUUGUCUUAUUAUUAUUAUUUUAAGUGUGGUUUUGAAUUUUAUAGCCUAAUUUAAUCUAAGGUUUUUAUUCUGGAACGGGAUAUUAAAAUGUUUAAAAAAAAAUUCAAUUCUAUAAGAAGUUAUUAUAACGAAUUCUCACUGAAUUUAGCGAAAUCUUAAAGCAAUAAUACAUACCAAUUAUGGGUUUGUCUAGAAUCCGGUACGGGUUGCUUAGUAUAUAUAGCGCCACCAACGCCAACACCCGUAAGAACGAUAGCAGUCUGGAAUAUGCAACGUAACACAUAAUUAAAGAAAUGGUUAAUCAGUCCUUAAAAAUUAAAACCAUAAAAAUAAAGUAUAGAAAUCCUCACAAGUUAACAACGGAGCUCCAAUCAAGUAUGACAUUAUUGGGAAGCCGAAGGUCCCAUUUAAUUCGGGUGCCCAUCAUCAGCUUUUUGUAAAUAUCAAAAGUGGAAAGUCCACUGAUAUUAUGAAGACUGAUCGGAACCCUGGCUUCAACAGUGCAUGAAGGAUUGAAAUCAGACGGUGGAGUUCCUCCAUCCACAAAAUAAUAGAAAUUACUAUUAGUUUGUGUAGAGGAAGAACAACGAGAAGCAUUGAUGUAAUUAACACCAUGCCAAGACUUGUUCAUCUUCAUACUGCAAUUCACCACAUAUAUAUUGCUAUACUCGCUAUAGCUAUAUUCAUAAAGAGAAAAAUCAUUUUGGAAAGUGAUGUUAUCAAUGGGAGGUAAAGGAAGGGAACUGAGAGGAAUAGAGCAGUUAUGGUUGGCCACAUCCACAUCUUGCAGAUGAAUAGUUUUGUUAAAAUAAGAGAUGUUUUGGACAUAGAAAUCCCCAUCUUCCGUAGGGAAGAUGGUGCGGUGGUUGUUGCAAACCAGCUCAAACCAGCUCAAACCACAGCCUUGAGGCUGGGAUUUUAAUCGAAAAGGGUAACUAACGCUAAGGUUUCCACACGAAGUAACUCCACAAUGCUUGCCUAUGCUUCGAGCGGUGGAAGCAUGAGGAAAGAGAGAUAAAGCUAGUGCCAACAGGAAAAUUAAUGCAAGUUUUGGUCUUACCAUCCUAAAAGUUUCAGGGGGAGAGAGAGGAGAUUUUAGUUUAAUUUAAUACAGGCUAACCAGUCUCUUAACUGUUUCUGCAAUUUUUCACUCUCCAAAACCAUGUCUUUCUUUCUCAAAUUUAAAGAAAAAAAAGGGAGUAGAUAACUAAUUGCAAACCAUACAACAAUGGUUUCACUCUGAAAUUUUCAACAAAGCACAUUAAAGAAAUCAUUGAUUUCUUGAUAAGACCAUGAAAUAGUUAAUAGGACAUAAUAGCGGUAAUAGAAGACUAAUUUGGAAUAAAUUACAUUUUCAACACUGAUUGUGAUUUUGUAAUAAAGUAAUUUUAUCCAAAAUAUUAAUAAAUGUUAUGUACGGUAAUAAAGAAAUUACUUUUAAAUAAAAAAUUUGCAAGAUGAUAAUAAUUUUUUGAUUUAGCGAGAAUUAUAUUAUCUUGUAAGCAUAAGAAUUUCGGUUUAAUCCUAAGCAACUUCAUUUCUAUCUUUAAUUAUUAAUAAGUAAAAAUAAUAUAAGAUCAAAUCCUAAAGAUAAAUAUUGUAAAAAAUGAUAGUCACGAAAGCCCAACCUAAACUAUAAAAAAAAACAUAAUACUUUUUUUUUUCUGAAAUAACCUACCAGUAUAUUUAUAAAAAAAAUUUAGUGUGAAAAGACUAGUUUUUGAGUUGAGAGAAAUUUGAUGAGUUUAUCAAAUAAUUAAAAAAAACCAGUUUAUAUAAAAAUAAUAAAUAAAAACAACAGUAGAGAAUAAUAUAUUUCAGAACUAAGCAUGUCCAAUUGUUCGGAUUUUUCAUUACUAAGAAAAUAUUUCUAAAAAAUGCCUGACACGUUAACAACUGAGCUCCAAUCCAGCAGGCCAUCUUCAAAAUUCCAGAAAACUGGGGCACCCAUCAUCAGCUUUUGGUAAAUAUCAAAAGUAGAGAGGUUACUGAUGUUAUGAAGACCGAUCGGAACCAGGGCCUCAACUGUGCAAGAGGGAUGAAAAGCAGAGGGUGGAGUUCCUCCAUCCAAAAAAUAGAAGUAAUUAUUAUUAGUUGGUGGAAAGGAAGAGCAAGGAGAAGCAUUUAUGUAAUUAGCCCCACACCAAGACUUGUUUAUCUUCAUACUGCAAUUCAUGACAAACAUCUCUUCAUAUGUAGAUCUAUCGAAAUAAAACUCGGUAUGAAGAUAUGUAUAAGUUGUUAUUCCUAUUCGAUGGAAUUUUCUACGCAUAGGAAAACCGAAAGGAAGAGAGCACCUAUCUAUGUCCAGAUUCACAUCUACAAGAUGAAUAGUUUGGUUAUCAUAAGAGAUGUGUUGGACAUAGAAACUCCCGCGUUCCAUAGGGAAAAUGGCGCGGUUAUUGUCGCACACCAGCUCAAACCACUUAUGACCACAGCUACGAGGCUGGGUUUUUAAUCGAAAAGGGCAACUGAUGUUAAGGUUUCCACACAAAGUAAAUCCACAAGGCGUGUUUAUAAAUAUAUAAUCGUUUGUUAAUAUAUUUUUAUAAAUAUAUAUUUCUAAUAUAAAAUAUUUUUCGUUCACUCAUGAAUGAAGUGAGUUUGAUAAAAUCUAUAGUUUUAAAUAUAAAAAUAUUUUGAGAUACAUAAAAAAAAUUCUUUUAUAAAGAUUGAAAAAUAAGUGAAACCAAGUAUUUCUUUCUCAUCAAAAACAAAAAAGUGACUGUCAAUUAAUUAAAACCAAACUAUUGAGCACAAAGCCAGUCACUGGCCGACCAUAAGAUAAACAAUUGAUAGCUUAAUUCAAUUCAGUAAGCAGCAGGCAGCUAGCUUUGUUUAUCUUUAUUUUAUUGUGCUGUUGCCUACCUAUUGUCAUUACCUGGCUGAAUCAAUCAACUAAAGCUACGCUGUAUCACCAAAAACAGUUUAAAGGCCCCCUUUAGUUUCGAAAGAAGCCGUGUGAGACGUUUUCGAUACAUUUUUUAAUCAAAAUUUGUCGUUAAUCUCUAAAUUAUGCAUACGUUACUUGUUUCAACUUUUGUAUUCUAAUUUAGUUGUUUUUAGUUUCUAUACUUUUCAGGUCCUCUUCAUAUCACGAAUCCUAAUUUAGCAGAGUUUCUUGCUGUCGCAAUUGCUCUUGAUAUUUUUGCUAAAGCUGAUUGGAAUGCCAUUAAUUGGAUUGUUAAUUGUGACAUGCGACAAUGGACUUUAUGAAUGAUUUGUGGGGGAUUGGUACUGGGGUUGUAAAUGUCAGCUUUACUGAAGUUCACAGGGAACCACAAGGAAUGGUAGAUGCUAUGGUUACAGCAGGAACAGACAGAUCUGAAUUAUUUCCAGCAUGGUGGUAGCAUCAGAUCUGGUUUUUUUGUGAUUUUCUUUUUACUUUCUGGGAGUAAGUUUCCUUUCCCUUAAUCUAUAACCUUUUUAUCAAAUAUCAAUUAACAUACUUGAUACAAGUCCUUUGUCAUUCCACUGUAUAUGAUUCAAUCUACGCAAAUAUAAACAUUUAUCAUAAACAUUCAAUUGCAUUAGGGUUACUAGAAUAAUCCUUGGUUACGUAAGCUAAGAGUCAAAAACUCUCUUCAACCAAGUUAGAAUACUUGGGUUGUUAUGGAAGGGACCAUGGAAAUUACAUGGAUUAUGGAGCUUAAUUCAUCAGUUGACUUUAGCAAUGGGUGAUGUGGGCUUCAAAAGAACAAUUUCCUUUGCUGCUUCGUGGUGAUUUCACGGUCAUUCAUUGAUUCUUGUCGUGUGUUUGGUUCGAUUUUGUCAUACGUUGGUCUUUCUUUUGGAUUAUUAUGUUGUAAUGUUCUGCAUUGUGGCCUGUUGCUACUCUGUAUUCGACUCUACUUUUAUUAAUCAAACUAGAAUUAACCUCUCCCAAGGGUGUUUAUUUUUUAAUAUUUUAAGUAAUUAGUAAUAAAUAAUUUUAAAUUAAAUUUUACAAAAUAAAACAAAAAUUAAAGUAAUGAUAAUUAUUUAUUUAUCUUUUAUAUAUUACAAAUUUACAUAUUAUAUAUGAAUUUUAAAAAUAUAUUUAAAUACUAUAAAAUUUAAAACAAAGGGAAAAAAAAAAGAAACCUUAUCUACCCACUUGUGGGGAUUCUUUUUAUUGCAAGGUACUAGUAUAGUUUCCAAUUAUAUAUUGGAUUAAUUAUUUGUUUGGGUUAAGGUAAAAUUUAAAAGUUAAUUCUUGCUGCAGUUUUAUUUUUAUGAAUUAAUUCAUUUAUAUUUUAAAUUUAAAAAUUUUAAUCUAAUUAUUACCGUCGUAAUUUUUUUAAAAUUCGUUGUUAUAACAUAUUGAAGUUUUAAAAAACAACCCCUUAAUAACCUUGUAAAAAAAUGACAUUGAAAAUAUUAAUAUAAAUUAAAAAAACUCAUUUUAAAUAUUAAUAUAAAUAUUAUAUAUUUAUUUUUAGUGCUCUUAAAGUUAUUUUAAGGUUGCAAAUGAAAGCAAAUUCUCCUUCUAAACAUUGCAUAACUUGCAUUACAUAAUAUUAAUUCAAUAAUCAUUAUCAUUACUAGACACGUCCACAGAAAACAGAAAAGACUUGGGAGGUAUUUCAAGGAGCUCUUCUUCACUUUCAAGCAUCUUCAAAACUUUGGUCAUUGUAGGACGAUGUACGGGCUUCGUCUGAAUGCACCAAAAUGCAACGAUUAUCAUUUUCCUCACAAUUUUAUUUACAUUUUCUGUCAUGUUUUCAAGCUCUAUGUUCUCUCCUAAUUCAAAUUGAUGAUAAAUCCAUGACGGGAAAUAAAUUUUACUUGAAUUGUCAACAAAAGCAUUCAGAUUUUUCCUCCUUCCCACAAUUUCCAUUAACAUCAUUCCAAAGCUAUAAACAUCAGCUUUAUACGAGAUACCUCCAAGAUUUUUAUAAAACAAUUCAGGAGCCAUAUAUCCUAGUGUACCUCGUGCUGCUGUGAGAGAAAUAAUGCUAUCAUCCACUGAAUGCAACUUUGCAAGGCCAAAAUCUGAGAGUUUAGGAUUAAAUUUUUCAUCUAAUAGAAUGUUAUGUGGCUUGAUGUCAAAAUGUAAAAUCUUCAUAGCACAACCAUUAUGUAAAUAUUGAAUACCUCGACCAACUCCAACUGCUAUCUCAAACAUCUUCUGCCAACUCAAGCUGCUAUUUGUUGAAAAUAUAAAUUUGUCUAAAGACCCAUUUUUCAUGAAAUCAUAGACAAGAGCUUGUUUUUUCCACUCCACACAAAAUCCAACAAGUUCCACCACAUUCACAUGAUGAAUUCUUCCGAUAGUUGCAACUUCAUUGAUAAAAUCUUGGCCAUUACCUUUCGAUUCCUUUAACAAUUUUACUGCAACAAAUUUACCACUUCAAAGUUUGCCUUUAAACACGGUGCCAUAACCUCCGUCACCUAAUUUAUCCUUGAAAUCUCCUGUUAUUUUCUUUAAUUCAGCAUAUGAAUAUCUUAUAGGCAUAAAAUUUAUUUGACUUAGAAGAAAGUUCUCAAUCGCAUCAUCUACUGACAAAUGUCUUCUUCUUAAUUUGUAUAUUACAAGAGCAAUCAAGCAACAUAUCCCCAAAAAUGUCCUCAUCAGUAACAUCCCUGUUUUUCAAGAAAAAAAAAUCAAGCAACACCAUAAUUCUAUACGUAGUUUUUACUGUUCAUAUCAUAAAGGUUUUGUGCUUUUCAAUUUGUUUCAUUUUAUAUCUAUUUUUACUUUUAAACUUUUUCUUUAUAUAAAAGUGAGACAAAUGAUAAACGUGAUGGAGACUAACUAAGCAAAUUCAUUAGUAUCAUAGAAGUACAGAUCUGCGUUCCUGUUAUUGCAAGGAAAGGAAUUUGGAAGACUGUUAAAAGACAUACAAGGAAUAUGUGUUACAUGAAUGUCUGGACCGACUUAAAAAAUAGGUCUAAAAUUUUACCCAAGAAAAGUUCAGAUAAGAAUGCUAAAACUUAAUCCUAACUUGUAUUAAAAAAUUUUAUAUUAUUUUUAUAUAAAAAUAAAUUUAAAAAUAUAAGAAAAUAAAUACACUAAAAACAUUAAAAUAAAUAUUUCCCAACAAAUUGAAAAUAAAUUAACAAUAAAAUAAAAGUUAUACAAUAUCCAAAUAAUAACAACAACAACAACAUAGUAGCAAUGUAAUAGUGAAAUUAGAGACGAAUUUAGGGGGUUGGCAGGGGCCUGACCCCCCCUAAAAUGUAAAAUUGCUAUUUAGGCCCAAAAAUUUUAAAAUAGUAAAUGUAAAAUUACACUUUGCCCCCUAAAAUUAUAAAAGUUUGAUUUAACCCUUUAAAAAUUAUAAAAAUAUUGACUACAAAAAAUUAAAAUUUCAUUCGAUCUCCUUAAAAAUUUGUUCUGGCUUCACCCAUGAGUGAAAUGACAGUAAAAUAGAGAUAAAACAGCAAAAGCAGCAGCAUUUUUUCUUUUGCAAAUUUAGGAACAGCAACAAUUUAUCUUUCGCAAAUUUGGGUUGAGCCAAAAAAAUUUACCCAAAAUAUGACCCGUUUAGAAAAUGUAUCUUAUUUUUUUUAUUUAUGUCCAUUUUUUAAGCUUAUAUUUUUGUUCGAAUUCUCUCACCUUUUAGACGAAUUUUCAGGAUGGAUCAGAUGACCCGAUGCAUGAUAAGUGUACAUACAACUAGAAAUAGGAAUGUACAGGAAGACCAAAAAAUUUAAACAAAUUUCUGAGGAUCUUCUUUGCUGUUUAAUUGGCUGUCCUUAUGUGUACAAAGUAUUAAAUUUUGUCUUAUUAUUAUUAUUUUAAUUUUGGUUUUGAAUUAUAUAGCCUAAUUUAAUCUAAGGUUUUUAUUCUGGAACGGGAUAUUAAAAUGUUAAAAAAAAAAAUUCAAUUCUAUAAGAAGUUAUUAUAACGAAUUCUCACUGAAUUUAGCGAAACCUUAAAGCAAUAAUACAUACCAAUUAUGGGUUUGCCUAAGAGAAUACGGUACGCGUUGCUUAGUAUAUAUAGCGCCACCAACGCCAACACCCGUAAGAACGAUAGCAGUCUGGAAUAUGGAACGUAACACAUAAUUAAAGAAAUGGUUAAUCAGUCCUUAAAAAUUAAAACCAUAAAAAUAAAGUAUAGAAACCCUCACAUGUUAACAACGGAGCUCCAAUCAAGUAUGACAAUAUUGAGAAGCCGAAGGUCCCAUUUAAUUCGGGUGCCCAUCAUCAGCUUUUUGUAAAUAUCAACAGUGGAAAGUCCACUGAUAUUAUGAAGACUGAUCGGAACCCUGGCUUCAACAGUGCAUGAAGGAUUGAAAUCAGACGGUGGAGUUCCUCCAUCCACAAAAUAAUAGAAAUUAUUAUUAGUUUGUGGAGAGGAAGAACAACGAGAAGCAUUGAUGUAAUUAACACCAUGCCAAGACUUGUUCAUCUUCAUACUGCAAUUCACCACAUAUAUCUUGCUAUACUCGCUAUAGCUGUAUACAUAAACAGCAAAAUCAUUUUGGAAAGUGGAGUUAUCAAUGGGAGAUAAAGGAAGGGAACUGAGAGGAAUAGAGCAGUUAUGGUUGGCCACAUUCACAUCUAGCAGAUGAAUAGUUUUGUUAACAUAAGAGAUGUUUUGGACAUAGAAAUCCCCAUCUUCCGUAGGGAAGAUGGUGCGGUUGUUGUUGCAAACCAGCUCAAACCACAUAAAACCACAGCCUUGAGGCUGGGAUUUUAAUCGAAAAGGGUAACUGACGCUAAGGUUUCCACACGAAGUAACUCCACAAUGCUUAUUUAUGCUUCGAGCGGUGGAAGCAUGAGGAAAGAGAUAUAAAGCUAGUGCCAAAAGGCAAAUUAAUGCAAGUUUUGGUCUUACCAUCCUAAAAGUUUCAGGGGAAGAGAGAGGAGAUUUUAGUUUAAUUUAAUACAGGCUAACCAGUCUCUUAACUGUUUCUGCAAUUUUUCACUCUCCAAAACCAUGUCUUUCUUUCUCAAAUUUAAAGAAAAAAAAGGAGUAGAUAACUAAUUGCAAACCAUACAACAAUACGAAAGCCAAUCAUAAUUUUUCCACACCAUCAAUUUUGGUAAGGAAAAGAAAAGCGGGACCCAAGAAUCGACGGCGAAAAUGAUAAGAGAAAAAGACAUCUUUAUAAUUCACCACUUGAUAUUUUCCUUAAUAUCGGGAGAGGAAAAGAAAGAACUUUGAAAUUUCAAUCAACUGGAGUCACAGCAUCACACGGAAACCGUACGAGAAUAAAUUUUAAUCAGUAAAAGUUGCAUUAGACACCAUUGUAUUAAGAGUCAAAUUGUAUAAGGUUCUUUUUAUUAAAAAAAUAAGUAAAUUAGUUUAUAUACGUUAAAUUAAAGAGCAGAUUAGUCAUUCUGUUAAAAUUUUCAUCCAUUUCUAUUGGUAAAAAAUAUUCGUUGUACAUUAUCAUGUGGUACAUAUGGCUCUCCUGUAUCACUGUUUGGUUAUUAUGUCAAUCACACCAUGCUUUAACCGUACAAAUGGAUGAAAUUUUUAACAGAAAUGACAAUUUUUUUUCUUUAAUCUAACAUAUAAGACUAAUUUAUUCAUGUUUUAGUAGAAAGUACAAAAUGCAAUCUGAAUCCUAAUAGUACACAAGCCUCCAUGAUAUUUUUACCAUUUUGAUACAAUUAAUUUUAUCAACUUUUUUUACGGGUACAAGAAUUAUUACAAGUUGGGAAAACAAUGGAAUUUUUGGUUUAUCUUGAUUGUUCUGUAACCACUCAUUCCGUGGGUGAGAAGUCAGUCCGAACAAUUGGGAUGUUAGCAUAAACUACAAAACUGAAUUCAUGAUUUAAAAUUUCUACUUACACAAAUUGACCCGACAAUCCUUAAACGAGUGAUUUCAGGGAAAUCAGCCUAUGGUUAGUACCAUUAUCCAAAGAAUGAAUGACACAAGUGGGAUCUUCAUCGAAUUGCAAGAGGUAAGGGAAGUGGCAGCAAUUGCAACAAGAGAACAUUAAACAAGACAUAUAUAGUAUGGGUAAUAAUUAUUUUGAGCCUGCAAAUGAAAGCUAAUCCUCCUUUGAAACAUUAUAUAACUUUCAUUACAUGUACUCCCAUGUCUAUUGAAUUCUUAUUUACUAUCAUUACUAGACAUGUCCAUAGGAAAUACUAAAGACUUAGGGAGGUAUUUUAAGGAGCUAAACUUCACUUUCAAGCAUCUUCAGUACUUUGGUCAUUGACGAAUGAUAUAUGGGCUUCGUUUGUAUGCAUCAAAAGGCAACGAUUAUCAUUUCCCUCACAAUUUUGGUUUCAUUUUUUGUCAUGUCUCCAAACUCUACGUUCUCCUCUUCUUCAAAUCGAUCAUAAAUCCAUGAUGGAAAAUAAGUUUGAAUUGAACGGUCAGUGAAAGCAUUCAAAAUUUUCCUCCUUCCCGCAAUCUCCAUUAACAUCAUUCCAAAGCUAUAAACAUUGGCUUUCUUCGAGAUACUAUUGGAAUAUUUUCAAAUAUUUAUAGUAUCCCUAUAACUAUAAAUGAAUGGGUGUAAUUAAUCAAAAGAUAAAUCUUUUGGUCAUUGGUCAAAAGUUAUAUCAUUUGAUUAAAAAAAAAGAAUUAUAACUAUUCACAAAAUAUUAUUUGAAUAGUUACAAAAUUAAAUGAAUAAUUAUUCAUAAAGACACCUAUUGAAAGAUGUCUCUAUGAAGAGACAUGAAAAUUCCUAUAAAUAGGAAUGAGAUUUCAUUUGGAAAUAUAUCAACAAAUUCUAAUAUUCUUUCUUUCCUCCCUUCAUUUUCUAAUAUUAUUAGAUUAUUCUAUAAAGUCUUUAUAACUGCAGAAAUCUUUUGUAGAAAUUGAGUUUUUUGUUAUACAUUGCUCAGUGCAUAGUGGACUAUUCUCGUUAGUGCAAAAUGCAAAUAGUCAUUGGCUUCAUUGUAUCCUCGAGGUUAAUUUGCUUGGAACUCAUUUGCACACCGAAGGUAGGUGGGGGCGAAUAUAACCUUAAAGAUAGUGGCUUGAUACACGCCUUGGAGCCUGUCCUAUUUCUUCUUUUUCUGUUCGAGUUUCGAUCGUGUGUUCGAGAUUUUCCUUACCGGAGUUUUGUACUAACAAUUUUAAGGUUAUAAUUCAUGAUGACUACCACAACACAUGAAAGUGGAACACUAAGGGAGUUGGCUUCCAACGUUGUUAAACUUGAUCGGUUUGAUGGUGGCAAUUUUCGAUGAUGGCAGAAAAACAUGCACUUCUUAUUAUCAACUUUGAAGAUUGCUUAUGUUUUGGAUACUCUAAGACCUGAAGAGAAUGAAAACGAAUCUGUUGCUGCAACCCGAGAAAGAAAAAAAUGGGACAAUGCUGACUACAUGUGCAUAGGCCAUAUAUUGAAUAGUUUAUCUGAGGGUUUGUUUGACACCUACCAAAAUGAGGUCACCGUUAAAGAAUUAUGGGACAAAUUGGAGGCAAGAUACAUGACCGAAGAUGUUACAAGUAAGAAAUUUCUUGUCAGUCGUUUCAAUAAUUAUCAAAUGGUUGAUGAUCGUUCUGUUAUGGAACAAUUUCGUGAUAUUGAAAAUAUGCUGAAUCAAUUUAAGCAAUAUGAUAUGAAAAUGGAUGAAAUGAUUGUGGUAUCCUCCAUAAUAGACAAACUUCCUCUAUCUUGGAAAGAUUUUAAAAGAAGUCUACAAUACAAGAAAGAGGAAAUAUCUCUUGAGGUUGGCAAAUCAUCUUCGUAUUGAAGAAGCGUAUCGAAAAUAAGAUCAGAACCUAAAUUCUGAAAAUGCCAAAGUACAUGUUACGAAGGAAGUACAGACUACCAAACCAUUCAAGAGAAAGUUCAAACAGACUGAUAGAGCACCUAAGUUCAAAAAGAAACAAAAGGGCUUAUGCUAUCAUUGUGGAAAGCUGGGACAUUUCAAGAAUGAAUGUCGAUUUUUAAAGAAGAAAUCAUCUUCUAAGGCUGAUAAUAACGAAAAGUUCGUUGCAAUGAUAUCUGAAAUUAAUAUGGCACAAGAUGAUAAUACAUGGUGGAUUGAUACCGGAGUGACCAAACAUGUGUGCAAAGACAAAAGCAUGUUCACAAAGUUCACACAAUGUGAAAAUGACAAUGUCUUGUACAUGGGAAAUUCUUCCACCCCAGCAAUCAAAGGAAAAGGGUCUGUUGAACUACAAUUUACUUCUGGAAAGGAUUUAACCUUAAAUGAUGUAUAUUAUGUACCAAAAGUUAGAAAGAAUUUAGUGUCUGGAAGUCUAUUGAAUAAGUUUGGUUUCAAACUUGUUUUUGAGGUAGAUAAGUUUAUUUUGUCUAAGAGAGGAAUUUUUGUGGGGAAAGGGUAUAUGUAUGAUAGCAUGUUCAAACUUAAUAUUAUUAAUAAGAAUAAAAAUACUAUUUCUGCUUAUAUGGUUGAAUCUUUUUUGUUUGUGGCAUUAUAUAUUAGGUCAUUUGAAUUAUAGAAAAUUGAAUGACAUCUAUAAAUUAGAUUUAAUUCCUAUUUUUAAUGAUAAUAUUAAAAAAUACAAUACAUGUAUGUUGACUAAAAUUACAAGAAACCCUUUCUCUACGGUUAAAAAGAAAACAAAAUUGCUUGAUUUGAUACAUAGUGAUUUAUGUGACAUGCAUAAUACUCCUACAUUAGGUGGAAAGAAAUAUUGUGUUACUUUUAUUGAUGAUUGUUCUAGAUAUUGUUAUGUAUAUUUAUUGCAUUCAAAAGAUGAAGCGCUUGAUAAAUUUAAAGUCUAUAAAUCUGAAGUUGAACUUCAGUGUGAAUCAUUUAUCAAGUGCUUAAGAUCGGAUAGAGGUGGAGAAUACUAUAAUCCAAGUUAUUUUGAACUCACUGGAAUUGCCCAUCAAGUUUCAGCCCCUUACACACUACAACAAAAUGGUGUAGCUGAAAGAAAAAAUAGAGUCUUGACUGAAAUGGUAAAUUCAAUGUUAUCAUAUUCAGGUCUUGGACAAGGUUUUUAGGGAGAAGCUGUUCUAAUAGCUUGUCAUAUAUUGAAUAGAGUUCCUAAUAAAUAAACUAAAAUAACCCCCUAUGAACAAUAGAAGAAAAAGAAACCAAACCUUAAUUAUUUGAAUGUUUGGGGUUGUAGAGCUAUUGUAAAAGUUCCAACAUCUAAACGUAAAAAGUUAGGUGAAAGAAGAAUUAAAUGCAUAUUUAUAUGUUAUGCACAUAAUAGCAAGGCAUGUAGGUUCAUGGUAAUUGAACCAAAUGAUUCAAUUUCAAUUAAUACUGUUAUUGAAUCAAGAGAUGCUAUUUUUGAUGAAAAUAGAAUUAAUUCUAUAUCAAGACAAUUACAACCACAACAGUUGAUUUAUUCUUCAAACGAGAAUGAGAUUCCAUUGAAACAAAUUGAUAAUAAUGAUGAAUCUUGUCAAGAAUUAAGAAGAAAUAAGAGGAUUAAAAAGGUCAAUGAUUUUAGACCAAAUUUCAUUAUGUUUCUUGUAGAAGGAAAAGGCGAAAGUAUAUGCAAUAAGAUACCUUAUUGUUAUAAUACUGAAUCUGAUCCUAUUACCUUUUAAGAGGCAGUGAAAUCUCAAGACUCUACUUUUUGGAAAGAAGCAAUAAAUGAUGAGAUGGAUUCAAUAAUGGGAAAUCAAACUUGGAUCUUAGUUGAUCUUCCACCAGGUUCCAAACCAAUAUAUAGGUUGUAAAUGGAUCUUCAAAAAGAAAAUGAAGGUUGAUGGAACCGUUGAUAAAUUUAAAGCAAGGUUGGUAACAAAAGGUUUUACACAAAGACAAGGUAUUGAUUACUUUGAUACCUAUGCUCCAGUAGCAAGAAUUGCUACAAUUAGACUCUUAAUAUCACUUACCUCUAUAUAUAAUUUGGUUGUUCACCAAAUGGAUGUUAAAACUGCAUUUUUAAAUGGUGAAUUGGAAAAGAAAGUGUACAUGGAGCAACCGGAAGGAUUUGUUGUUCCAAUACAAGAGCAUAAGGUAUGUAAGCUUGUUAAAUCUUUAUAUAGUCUUAAACAAACACAAAAAAAUGGCACCAAAAGUUGGACAAUGUUGUUUUAGCUAAUGGCUAUAAAAUAAAUGAAUCUGAUAAGCGCAUAUUGAUGGGUGUCGAACCCACCAAUAUAAACCUACACCUAAUUUUGCAAAUUUAAGCAGUAUAGGGAGUAGGGUCGAUCCCUCAGAGACUGGGUUUACUGCAAAUUGUUGCUCUCUUGACCAGAUUUAUGUCGGGGCAGUUGUCGUGCCCAAAAAAUUUGGGGAGGAUAAAAUCGAAAACCUGAAACAUGAAAUAAAUAAAUAAAAUACGUAAAAAGUAAAAGCUGAAAAUAAAUAAUAAAAAGCAUUUAAAUAAAUCUAAAGAAAAAUUAAUUAAAAUAAGCUCAGCUUUAGGCACAGGUUUCUCCUCGUCUUUGAACCGAUCCUCAAAAUUAGAUGAACUCAUCUUUUCUAAUAAGCUAGUUAUAGCUACCAAGGACGCCUCGGACACCAACUCUUCCUUGUGUAAAUUAGUUAUGGAACGUCCUAUAACUAACCCUUACCAAUGAACAACCACGAAACGUUCGUGAUUUAGAACUCCGGCAGCUUUGCGUUCCAGAAGAUCCUAGCUCGAACCAAUGCCCUCAACCGCGUGGGACAUUUAAAUCCGGUUACUACUUCCCUUGACGAAACCAAACAACAAUCUCUACUUGGCAUGCCAAUGUGUUUACAGAAAAUCGAUUAGACAAUUGAUCUUUUCGGAAUUCCAACUGUACGUCUAAUCACACUAAAUCAAACGACGUCUUUUUUUGACUUAAUGUUGAUCUGACUUUGUGAGUUGACAAAAUCAUACUCUUAAUCCGGAGAAAUAAUAAGUACUGGAAUCUAGGAGUUAAAUUGCUCGGGUUCGUAACUCACGGGUUUUGACGAGGCUAAUUCUGACCUAAAUCUGAAAAUAGGUUUAGUUAACUAAGGUUUGGGGCAUGUUGGUUAUUGGAUAAAUUAAAUAAGAUAAAACGGGUGGUUGGCUACUGAAAAUGAAAAGGGAAUUUGAAAAAGGGAUUGCAAUAGGCUUAAGUUGGAGGCUACUAGGAAUUAAUAAAUUGAAGGGAAAAAAACUAAAGGCAACAAGUAAAUUCGUGAGAAGAAAGGAGAGAAUGUAUUGAAAGAUGAAAGCUCGAUAUAUUCCUUGAUGAUUAAAAUGAACAAUGUAGCAUCUAUUUAUACUAGUGGCAUUGCUAAAUUAAGAGCCAACUAGUAUAGAAAAUCAAGGAAAAAUAUUCCAUGAUAUAAAAAAAAUCCCAAAAUAAUCUCCCACUAAGUCAAUAAAAAUUUCAGCUAAUUAAUAUUGAAAAAAUUCUGCUUUGGCCCUCCUUCUUUGCUUUUUUCUUCAAUCUAGCCCAAUUGUUUCCUUUUUCUUCUAUUUAGCCCCAAUUUAUAUCCCUACACAAAAUUCAAUAUAAACAUGGGAAAAUUAAUGGUGCACUCUCAUAAAUUAACCAAUUUAAUUAAAUAAAAUAUGUAACUUUAGCAUUUAAUCACAUAUAUAGUAAAUUUGAAAAUAGAAAAGGUGUCAUAAUUUGCUUAUAUGUAGAUGACAUGCUCAUUUUUGGCAUGGAUUUGGAACAAAUAGAAAACACAAAGAAAUUAUUGUCAAUCAACUUUGCUAUGAAGGAUAUGGGUGUAGCAGAUGUUAUUCUUGGGAUUAAAAUAACCCGAGAUGAAAGCACUAUAGCUUUAUCACAAUCAUAUUACAUUGAAAAUGUGCUUAAAAAGUUUGAUCUUUUCAACAGUAUACUAGCAUCUACACCCAUGGAUCGUCAAUUAAAAUUAGUAUCUAAUGCUGGUAGGAAAAUUGAUCAAUUGAAAUAUGCAAGUCUAAUUGGUUGUCUUAUGUAUAUAAUGACUUGUACAAGACCAGAUAUUGCAUAUGCUAUUGGAAAAUUGAGUAGGUACACAAGUAAUCCAAUUAGUUUGCAUUGGCAAGCUUUGAAUAGAGUACUUAGGUACUUAAAGAAAACUAUUAACUAUGGAUUGUGUUAUAAUGGAUAUCCUUCAGUUUUAGAAGGGUAUUCGGAUGCUAGUUGGAUUACAAGUUUGGAAGAUCAUGCAUCUACUAGUGGAUGGAUCUUCAUUCUUGGUGGAUGAGUCAUUUCUUGGGGUUCCAAGAAACAAACAUGUAUUAUUGAUUCCACCAUGGCAGCAGAAUUUAUUGCAUUAGCCGCUGCAUCUAAAGAAGCAGAAUGGUUAAGAAAUUUACUUUAUGAUGUACAUUUAUGGCCUAAGCCAAUUUCACCUAUUUCUAUCCGUUGUGAUAGUGAGGCUACUCUAGCUAAGGCAUAUAGCCAAGUAUAUAAUGGAAAGUCUAGACACAUUGGAUUAAGACAUAGUUAUGUCCGACAAUUAAUCUCUGAUGGAGUGAUCACUAUUAAUUAUGUGAGGUCAAGUGAAAAUUUGGCAGAUCCUUUGACAAAAAGUCUUGCUAGAGAUGUAGUAAAAAGGACCUCAAAAUGGAUGGGACUCAAGCCUAUUAAUUAGAGUCACCUAUGAUGGAAACUCGACUCAACACUUGGUAUAACGUCAAGUCUUAAGUUCAAUGAGACAAAGUACAUCAUUAGUAUGUGAUUGUUAACAUUAUAAAUAAAUCCAUCCUAAGAUUAAAGUGCUAGGUACCCGUAAUGAUAAGGGAAGGAUGAGUAAUGUACUCUUAAUGGACCCAUAACAUAAAUAUGUUAGAGUGUUAUAAUUAUGGGAACACUUUUGAUGGGAUCUACAUAUGUGAGAGGAAGUGUGGCCGCUUCUAGGAGCUUAAGGGCUUGGCUUUCACAGCACUCAUAAAAAGAGGACAUAGACACAUGGCCAUAAUAGUGUCCCUAGAUACUAUGCAUUGACCGAUGUUGAAAUAGUUGGUUCAAAGCUUAGUCUACCAUGCAAUUUCGAUUAUCUUUAACAUGUUUUCACUAAGUGAAGGUUCAAUCGUAAGACACCUUUAUUUAUUCAAAUUGAUUUCCAAGAAUAUCAAAAUCUAAAUAUUUUGAAUAUGGGGGGAGAUUGUUUUAACAUUUUCAAAUAUUUAUAGUAUCCCAAUAACUAUAAAUGAAUGGGUGUAAUUUAAUCAAAAGAUAAAUCUUUUGGUCAUUGGUCAAAAGUUAUAUCAUUUGAUUUAAAAAAAAAGAAUUAUAACUAUUCAAAAAAUAUUAUUUGAAUAGUUACAAAAUUAAAUGAAUAAUUAUUCAUAAAGACACCUAUUGAAAGAUGUCUCUAUGAAGAGACAUGAAAAUUCCUAUAAAUAGGAAUGAAAUUUCAUUUGGAAAUAUAUCAACAAAUUCUAAUAUUCUUUCUUUCCUUCCUUCAUUUUCUAAUAUUAUUCUAUAAAGUAUUACUGCAGAAAUCUUUUGUAGAAAUUGAGUUUUUUUGUUAACAUUGCUCAGUACAUAGUGGACUAUUCUCGUUAGUGCAAAACACAAAUAGUCAUUGGCUUCAUUGUAUCCUCGAGGUUAAUUUUCUUAGAACUCAUUUGCACACUGAAGGUAGGUGGGGGCUACUAUAACCUUAUAGAUAGUGUCUUGAUACACGCCUUAGAGCCUGUGCUAUUUCUUCUUUUUUUGUUCGAGUUUCGAUCGUGUGUUCGCGAUUUUCCUUACCAGAGUUUUGUACUAAUAGAUACCACCAAUAUUCUUAUAAAAUAACUUAGGAUCCAUAUAUCCUAUUGCUUCUCGUGCUAUUGUGAGAGAAACGAUGAUGUCAUCCACUGAAUGUAACUUUUGUGAGACCAAAAUCUAAAACUUUUGAGGUAAAAUUAUUGUCUAAAAAAUGUUACGUGGCUUAAUAUCAAAAUGUAAAACAUGCAUCGUACAUCCAUUAUGUAAAUACUCAAUUCCUCGACCAAUUCCAAGUUCAAUCUCUAGUAUAAGUGAAUGAAUUUGUUGUUGUUCCUAUAUAAUUGCUUUAGUCUAAUCUUAAUAUGUUGUAUAUGAAUUAUAUUAACACUAUUGAAUAUUCAAUACUCAAUGCCGGUUAUGUUUGUCUCUGUGCGCAGGUCUCGAAGUUGUAUAGACCUAGAUUCUUAGGUCAAGCAUCUAACUAAACAACUCAACUCAAGAUUCAACUUGUUUCCUCUUUUGUAUGCAUUUUUGAAAUUGGGUUUUAUGGCAUGUACAUAGAGAAUUUGUUACUUGGUGUUGAACUUGCAUUUUGACAUGUUUAGUAACUUAGUCUGUAUGGCUUAUAAAGUUGACUUUUUUUCAUUGGUUAUCAGAUAAUUAGGGAAGUUCGCAUGAGUAUGUUUAUGUAAGAUAAUUAUUUAGGAUGUUGUGUUGGGUUAACAAGUCCAAUGUCGCGACAUUUCCCAAUUGAAGUUGCAGCAAUAAAGAUCAGUCACCAAUGUGUGGUGCUUAGGUUCGCUGAUUUGAGGUUUACAAAUCAACUAGUGGUUUGCUAGUUGACUUACCAAAGACUCGUAAGCCAAAUGAGGUAUACUAGGUGGCUUAUCAGCUAUCUAUGGUUUGUUGUGAUAUGUAGCUCGCUGAAAUGUGGACUCCACUAGGAGGCAUGAGUCAAGUAUCCCUAAGUUUGCAUUCAGUACAUUUUCAAACCUAAAUUUCCUUGGAUGAUUUUUGUUAAGUGAUAGCCACAAUUGUAGUUGCUUUAGCAAUGUAACGUGAUGUCCUGCAUUCAGAUCUGACAAUUAGGUUGAAGGUAGCUGUCAUACAGGAGCUGUAGGAGGAGCCAAAAUAAUGCAAGUUUUGGUGUUGCCUUCAUGAACCGUUUGGACAACGUAAUGUGAUGUCUCAUAUUCGAAGCUGAAGAGCGAGUCAAAGGUGGCUAUCACACAGGAAUUGUAGGAGGAGCCAAAAUAAUUCAAGCUUUGGUGUUGCUAUCGUGAACCUCAAGUGUGAGUGGCAGAGAAAGGAGAUUUGUAUAACUAAGGACGUUUGUUUCAUUUAAUUCAGGCGACGCAUUACUAAGAAGAUUAACUCUAUUCUCUUCAUCUUAUAAUUUCUGCAUUAAUACCUCCUGACUAUAAAAGUACAAAAAGAAAGAGUCAACUAAUUAAAACUAAACCAUUAAAAUACUUCAACACUGAACAGUCAUUGAGCAAUCAAAAAAUUGAUGGUGAAACUGACACAGAAAAUACUUGUUAUAUAAGUAAUCUAUAUGUGAAUCUUCUUUACCAUAAAAAAUAAAAAGAACAUCUUGCUUUGAAAAUUCAAUCAACUAGAGUCUACAGCCUAAUAAGUAAAAUGGUUAAAUAUGUGAAUCCUAUUAUAAUAAUUAUACAUAUUAGAUUGUUGAAAGGUGGCAACAUAGCAGCAGCAUUGUAACACCCCUUACCCGUAUCCAACACCGGAAUAGGGUACGAGGUAUCACCAAAACACAUACACUUGUAAGCGUAUUUAACCGAGUUAUAAAAUUUCAUCUAAAUAAAAAAUUUCAAAAUAAUUAACAUGCUUCUAUAACUUUUCACAAUAUAUCCUCGAAAUAUUAUAAUCAAAAUAAUUAGGGCCUACGAGACCCGUCACAUACUCAUGCAAUUCAAUGCUUCAUUUCCAUUUCAUUCAAUUCGCAAUUUCUCAUGCUCACAAUUUAGAUCAUAUCACUAGCAAUUUCCAUUUAAUUCACGUACAAUUCAAUGUCACUAAGUUUAACACUAAUACGUAUUUACCAUUUAACUCAACGUUUAUCGAUUAUACCAUUCACUAACACAUUUAUGAAAUUCUCAAUUUUGCAAUGAAGAUAUCACUUUAGCUUAAAUAACAACAUCAUCCUGGUAUAAAUACACUACCACUUAUCCAAUUGCUUUAAUUCUUUUGGGCCCAUUUGUCACUUACCAUCCUUAAUCAAAUUAGGGAACGGUUACGGAAAAUUGAGUACUUCACUUUCACUUUGCCAUAGUAUAACUAUGGUCUUACGUAUGAUCACUUAUCACUUGUCCCUGAUCAGAUAAGUGUAGCCACUUAUCACUUUGUUUCUUGAUCAGAUAAGUGUAGCCACUUAUCACUUUGUCUCUUGAUCAGAUAAGUGUAGCCACUUAUCACUUUGUCUCUUGAUCAGAUAAGUGUAGCCUCUUAUCACUUUGUUUCUUGAUCAGAUAAGUGUAGCCACUUAUCACUUUGUCUCUUGAUCAGAUAAGUGUAGCUAAAGCUAUCACUUAUCACUUUGUCUCUUGAUCAGAUAAGUAUAGCCGAAGCUAUCACUUAUCACUUUUCACUUGUCACUUGAUCAGAUAAGUGUAACCGAAGCUAUCACUUAUCACUUUCCAUUUUGUCACUUGAUCAGAUAAGUGUAGCUGAAGCUAUCGCUUAUCACUUUGUCACUUGAUCAGAUAAGUAUAGCCGAAGCUAUCACUUAUCACUUUGUCACUUGAUCAGAUAAGUAUAGCCGAAGCUAUUACUUAUCACUUUCCACUUGUCACUUGAUCAGAUAAGUGUAGCUAAAGCUACCACUUAUCACUUUGUCACUUGAUCAGAAGUACUCAAAUCCGGCGUUCCGCUCAAUUUGAUCAUUUAUUCAUAUAUCAGGCUUACCAACAUGUGUUAAUUCAUAAACCAUUCAUGAUAUUAUUUCAUGCCAAAUCAUAUAUUGAAUAUACCAUACACACAUACUAUGAAACCUUAUUUUCACACAUGAGCUUAAACCAUGACCAAUAAUGCACAAAUAUAAGCAUCAUUCAUAUUUCAUCGUUUAUCAGUUAUAAUCAAACAUAUGACCAUUUAUACACGAAUCAUUCAUAUAUUUCUCAAUUUUCCUCCUCCUCCUCUCCAUUCCACAACCUUAAUGUGUAUAACACACUUAAACAGCAUUAACCAUAAUUUCAAUAUUCACUAACAUGUAUAUUCAAAACUGUUUAUCCGAGUCAGAGUCACUAAAUUAUUUUUAUCCGGAGAUACAGAGCUCCAAAUUAAGAUCCGUUAAUUUUUCCUGAAACUAGACUCACAUAUCUUCAUAUCAUAAAAUUUUCAGAAUUUUUGGUUCAGCCAAAUAGUACAUUUUAUUCUUUAAAGUUUCCCCUGUUUCGCUAUCUGACAGUUCCGACCACUCUUCACUAAAAAUUAAUUAUCUCAUUGUAAAGAAUUUGGAUGAUAUUUUCGUUUGUUUCUUAUAAAAAUAGACUCAUUAAGGAUUCUAACCAUAUAAAUUAUAACUUAUAAUAAUUUUUUUACGAUUUUUAAUGAUUUUCCAAAAUCAGAACAGGGGAACACGAAUUCAUUCUGACCUUGUCUCACAAAAUCUAUUAUAUCUCAUGAUUUACAAUUCCAUUGCUCACACCAUUUCUUUUAUAAGAAACUAGACUCAAUAAGCUUUAGUUUCAUAUUUUAUUCAUCCUCUAAUUCAAUCUCUACAAUUUUUGGUGAUUUUUCAAAGUUAUACUACUGCUGCUGUCCAAAACUGCUUUAGUGCAAAAUGUUGAUUUCCAUUUUGCCCCAAAUUUCACAGUUUAUACAAUUCGGUCCUUUCUCAAUUAACCCCUCAAUUAAUCUAAUUUUCUCAAUUAAUACUUUACCUAGACAUUAUAAGUUGUUACUCAACUAUUGAAAUCCAGAAUUUCCACAUGUAACUCUAUCUUCAAACUCUUUUACUAUUAGGUCCCAAACAUUCACUUUCUAUUCAAUUCUUUCAAUAAAAUAAACAUAUGAACAAUUUAAAGAUCUAAUUUCAUGAUAAAUCAUCAUAUAAUUCCAGCACAUAUUCAUAUCAACUUUCAACUUCUUUCAUAAAAUCAAAAACUAAUGAAUUUAACAAGUGGGCCUAGUUGUAAAAGUCAUAAAAAUACAAAAAUUUCAAUAAAUAGUCAAGAAUUGAACUUACUUGUAGUAAAAAUAUGAAGAACCAGCUUGAAGAAGCCCUUCCAUGGUGUUUUUGCUGAUGAUAAUUCAGAAAAAUGAAGAGAAAUCUAGAUAAUUCCACUUGGGUCCUAACUUUAUUAAGCAAAUUUUGCAAUUUUCCAAUUCUGCCCUUAAUUCUCCUUACUUUCUUGCUGAUUUCAUGCCCCUGCCGUCCAGCCCAAAUAGACCUUGGGUCUAUUUGCCUUUUAAUCCCUCUUCCUUUUAUCAUUUAAGCUAUUUAAUCAUUUCCCAAAAUUUUGCAUUUGUUACAAUUUAGUCCUUUUUGUUCAAUUAAUUAUCGGAACUUUAAAAUUUCUUAGCGAAACUUUAAUACUAACUUUUUAAUACUCCAUAAAUAUCCAUAAAUAUUUAUAAAAAUAUUUAUGGCUCAGUUUAAAAUCCCCGAGGUCUUGAUACCUCAUUUCGAUUCUAAUUAUUUUAAUAUUUAUUUCUAGUGCACUAUUCACUAUUUCAAAAAUUUUCCUAACUUCACAUUUAACUUAUACUUACUGAAUUAAUAAUAUUUUCUACCCAUUUGUCGAAUUUAGUGAUCUCGAAUCACCGUUCCGACACCUCUGAAAAUUCAGGCCAUUACAUUUUUUUUCUCGUCAGAUUUGUGGUCCCGAAACCACUGUUCUGACUAGGCCUAAAAUCGGGCUAUUACAAGCAUGCAAGUGACCAAGCAACACAGUAGCAGCAUGCAAAUGUCUAUGGUGUAAUUUAGUUGUUGUAGUAGUUAAUUUUUGCUAGUUUGGUUAUAUUCCUUUUUUUUUGUUUGUUCAACUAAGGAUUAAUCAUGUACUUAGCUGAUUUAGUAGUUAUUUAGGUUGUCUUUAAGCUGAUUUAACAGCUUGGAUACUUGUACAAAUAAGUUUUUUUUUACCAAUGUAAUUGAACUGCUUAUGUAUAUGGCAUUUUACGUAUUCAAGUAAUGAAGUUGAUAUUUUCUUCAUCAUCUGACAUUUGAAUUUUGCUUCUGUUUUUCAUCUUUCAAACAAAAAUUUUUGUUUUUUUAUUUAGUUAUUGAUUUAAACUCAACAAAUGGUAUCAAAAGCCUGUCAUCUUUGAGGGCUUUUGCUAUGUGUUGGUUUGUGUUGAUUCUUUGAAUGAUUCAUGCUUAAAAGAAAAGAAACAGAAGCUAUCUUUGUUGGCUUGUUUAGUUGUUGCAAAAGGAUGGGUUUUUCCCCACCACCACCACCACCUGUCUUUGCUGGUGAAAACUACAACAUUUGGGCUGUGAAAAUGAAGGCAUAUCUACAGGCUCAUGAUUUGUAAAGUGUUUUUCUAACUUACACAGAGCCACCACCUCUGAGAUCUAAUCCAACUAUAGCUCAAAUCAAGUAGCACAAUGAGGACUGUGCCAAAAAGUAUAACGCUAUGUCAUGCCUUCAAAAUGAAGUUUCAGAUUGAAAAUGUCAUUAGUACUCUACCAGAGAAGUAUGAGUCAAAAAUAUCUUUUUUGGAAGACUCGGGGGACCUAUCAGCUAUACCCUUGAUAAAGCUGAUAAAGGCUCUCUAUACAUAAGAGCAGAGAAGAGCAAACAAAAUGGAGAAGCAUUCUGAAGGAGCUUUUCAAGCCAGGAGCAGAGAAAGCUCAAGCUUGAGCUCAAGCUACAAAGGCAAGAAGCCUUAGACAGAAAAGAAAGAAAAAGAAAAGUAGGAUGCUGCUAAAAAGAAGUUUCCACCAUGCACUCAUUGCAAAAAGACCACUCACUUAGAAAAAUAUUACUGAUACAGGCCUGACAUUCAGUGUAGAAGUUGCAAGCAACUAGCCCACAUUGAAAAGGUUUGCAAGAACAAGGCAAAAACACAACCAUAGCUGUAGAAUCAAGCUCAAGCUGCUGAGGAUGUGCAAUAUUAGGAGGAGCAUGCCUUUACUGCCUCUUACUAUGCAAGUUCGAGCAAAGUCAGGAAAAAUUAGCUGAUUGACAGUGGUUGCACUCAUUACAUGGCUUCAGAUGAAGGCAUGUUUAAGGUGCUAGACACCAACUUUGUGUCUAAAGUUAGAAUUGGGAAUGGUGAGUUCAUCGAGGCCAAAGGCAAAUGCAAGGCUGUGAUUUGUACUCAGUCAGGUAACAAAACCAUCUCAAAAGUUCUUUUUGUACUUGAUAUUGAUCAAAAUUUACUUAGUGUUGGUCAGUUGUUGAAAAAGGGUUACUCCUUUAUUUUUAAAGGAAAGACUUGUGUGAUCAAAAUUUUUUUGAUCAAGUGUUGGUGACAGUAGCUGUACAUGAUAGAUCCUUUAUUUUGGAUGUGAAUUAGUUAGAAGAAAAGGCAUACACAACUCUAGCUAAUGAAUCAUGUUUGUGGCACAAGAGGCUAGGGCAUGUGAACUAUAAGUCAAUUGGCUUACUGUACAAUAUGUGUCUAGUUGAAGACAUGUCCAAGAUCGAGCCUAGAAAUGAUGUUUGUGAAGUCUGUCAACUUGGCAAGUAGACCAGACUGCCUUUUACUGUUAAUAAAGCUUGAAGAGCUCAAGAGAGACUCCAACUGGUUCAUACUGACAUUUGUAGACCCAUGAAGACUUCCUCCUUGAACGAAAAUAGUUAUUUUGCAUUGUUCAUUAAUGAUCACACCAGAUUUUGUUGGGUGAGCUUUUUGAAACAAAAGUUAGAUAUGGCUGACUUCUUCUACAAGUUCAAGGCAUUAGCUAAAAAUCAAGUCAGUUGCAAGUUGAAGAUUUUGAGGUCAGAUAAUGGGACUAAGUAUGUCUCAAAAUUUCUAGAAGAUUUGUGAUGAAGCUGGAAUUCAACACCAAUUAACCACCAUCUAUACACCAUAGCAGAAUGGUGUUUGUGAAAGAAAGAACAAGCAUGUUCUUGAUAUGGCCAGGUGCCUGUUGUUUGAAGGCAAAAUGCCUAACAUUUUUUGGGUUAAGGAAGUAAAUACCUCUGUGUAUUUGCUAAAUAGGCUACCAACUAAUAUAACCACAGGCAAAACACCAUUUGAAUUUUGGUUUAGACACAAGCCAACUGUCUCACACUUAAAAGUGUUUGGCUGCAUAUGCUAUACACUGGUGCCAACUGAGAAAAGAACUAAGCUAGGGAAGAAGUCCAUGCCUAGAGUCUUUGUUGGCUAUAGUAGUGUGAAGAAAGGGUAUAGGGUCUUUGAUCCAUCCACUAAGAGGAUCGUUGUGAGCAGAAAUGUGAAAUUCAAUGAAGGAAGCUGUUGGAAAUAGGAUAGAACAGAUGCAAGCUUGUGUGAGCAAGACCAGCAUGAUCUUAACUUGUAGCAUGCUGAGAUUGAAGUUGAUGCUGAGGAUGAUUAUGAUGAUGCACCUGUUAGAUGCACUAGAACCUUAAUAAACAUCUAUGAAAGAUGUGGUAUGACCAUUAUCGAGCCUUCCUACUUUGAUGAUGCUACAAAGGAGGGCUGCUGGAAAGAAGCAAUGGAAACUGAAAUGAAGAUGAUCCAUAAAAAUGACACUUGAGAGCUGGUUGAUAGGUAUGGGAAAGUUAUUGGUGUAAAAUGGGUGUUCAAGACCAAGAACAAUGCAUAUGGGUCACUGAAUAAGCACAAAACUAGGCUGGUUGUAAAGGGAUACAGUCAGCAGCAUGGCAUCGAUUACUCUGAAAUCUUUACACCAAUUGCAAGGUUAGAUACCAUAAGGCUGUUGUUUGCCUUAGCUGCUCAGAAGCAGUAAGAAGUGCACCAACUAGACGUUAAAUAAGCUUUUCUAAAUGGAUUUCUCAAUGAAGAGAUCUUUGUUAAGCAACCUGAUGGAUUCAAGGUUUUUGGUGAAGAACACAAGGUCUACAAGCUCAAGAAGGCCUUGUAUGGUCUAAAACAAGCUCCAAGAGCCUGGUAUGACAGAAUUGAUGCCUACUUGUCAAGGCUGGGGUUUGAUAAGAGCUUCAAUGAGCCUACACUCUAUGUGAAGAAGGCUGAGAAAGAAACAUUAUUGAUUGUGUCUUUGUAUGAAGAUGAUUUACUAGUUACUGGUUGUAAGGGUAAGUUUAUUAAAGAAUUCAAGAAGUGGAUGCAAGAUGUUUUUGAAAUGACUGAUUUAGGCUUGAUAACCUACUUCUUUGGUAUGGAAAUGAAUCAGAGUGAGCAUGGUAUUUUUAUAAGCCAACAAGCUUUUGCAAUGAAAGUUCUAAGCAAAUUCUGCAUGACAAAUUGCAAGCCUGCUAGGACUCCUAUGGCACUAGGAUCAUGAUCGUGUGGAUGAGAAAAGCUACAGAAGUUUGGUUGGUUGCCUACUUUACCUGACAACAACAAGGCCAGACAUCAUGUAUGCAAUUAGCCUUCUAUCGAGGUUCAUGCAUUGUUGCAAUAUAGCUCAUUUUAAAGCUGCUAAAAGAGUCUUGAGUUAUGUCAAAGGGACCUUAAACUAUGGAGUGAAGUUUGAGAGAGCUAAGGAGUUGAAGUUGGUUGGCUAUUCAGACAGUGACUAGGCUGGCUCAGCUGAUGAUAUGAAGAGCAAAUCGCGCUACUUCUUCGUUCAGGAGUUUUUUGUUGAAGCUUUAAGAAACAACAGACGGUUGCUCAGUCCACUGCAGAGGUAGAGUAUAUUGCAGCUGCUACUACUAUUAAUCAAGCCAUUUGGCUUAGGAAGCUUUUGUGUGACUUGAAUGUUGAUCAAGAGGAAGCAACAGAGAUCAAAGUGGAUAAUCAAUCAGCUGUUGCUAUUGCCAAGAAUCCUAUUUUUCAUGGCAAGACAAGCAUUUCAAGAUUAAGUAUCAUUUUGUAAGGAAAACAGAAUUGUCAAAAGAAGUCAACUUAAUUCAUUGCUGCUCGGAGGUUCAGCUUGCAGACAUUCUGACCAAACUACUAGCUGCUACAAGAUUCGAGUAUUUGAAUAAGGAAAUUGGAGUCUGCUGCUUUGUAGCCAAGGAAGAGUGUUGAAAGGUGGCAACACACCAGCAGCAUGCAAGUGACCAAGCAACACAACAACAGCAUGCAAAUGUCCAUGGUGUAAUUCGGUUGUAGAGCUUUUGUAAUAGUUGACUUUUGCUAGUUUGGUUGUAAUCCUUUUUUGUUUAUUCAGCUAAGGAUUAAUCAUGUACUUAGCUGAUUUAGUAGUCAUUUAGGUUGUCUUUAAGCUAAUUUAACAGCUUGGAUACUUGCACAAGCAAGUUUUGGUUUUUACCAAUGUAAUUGAACUACUUAUGUAUAUGACAUUUUUGCUUAUUCAAGUAAUGAAGUUGAUCUUUUCUUCAUCAUCCAACAUUCGGAUUUUGCUUCUGUUUUUCAUCUUUCAAACACAAAUUUUUGUUUUUGAUCUUUAGUUAUUGAUUUAAACUCAACAUGGAUCAUUUUACUUUAGAACAAAAUAACUAUUAGUCGAUGAAAAGUUAAUCCUUGUUUAGUAGUACAUAUUAAAAUAAUAGGUAUUCACCUAAAUAUAUACAACUAUCUGAUUUAAAAAAAAAAAAAACAAAUUAGGGAGGCUGAGUUUUUGAUAAAAAAAGGGUGAAGUUGAGCCAGGUGCUUGGCUUAGGUGACGCAAACAUGAGACUAGUGAAAAAAAACAAAACAAAACAAAACAAGGGCCAAAUAGUGGGAGUUUUGGUCCAAGCAUAUCGACCCUAAAUCUAAGCUUACUUCAAUUCAGGCACGUUACUAAGAAGAAGCAGACAGCUAACUUUGUUUAUCUCUAUUGUGCAGCUGCUUAUUAUAUGUCAUCUCAAAAAUGUCGGUAGAAGUGCCAUAUCAACAAGCUAUAUGAGCCUUAUCAAACUUAUGUCCAAAAAGAUUUUAAGUCAUUGAAUGUUUUUAUUCAUAUAUUUCUACGAGUAGGGCCAAUCAAACAUUAAAGAUGAAAAUCCAUGUUCAAACAUUAUUUGAUUAAUUGAAAAUUUUUUGUAUAUGAUUUUUGUAUUUUAAUUAAUAUUUUAAUUAGGCAGCAAAUGCAGGACAACUGUAAUCGAAAAGGGAAACCGAUGUUAAGGUUUCCACACAAAGUAAGGCCACAGUCCUUGCCUAGGCCUCUAGCGGUGGAAGCCCGAGGGAAGAAAGAGAAAGGGGCAGCAGGUGCAGGAGGAGAAAAAAUAAUUGAAGUUUUGGUCUUGCUAUCCUAACGUUUCAGUGGCAGAGAAAGGAGAUUAAUUAAUUAAGGCUGAGGCUAACCAAGUGAAGCAUUCUAUUUCUUCAUCUAACAGUUAUUAUGAUUCAUCCCCCACCCUUGUUCUUUCACCCUUGUGCCAAUGAAAGUUAUGUAUAUCUUUCUGGUGCCAAUCAAUCUGUGCUGAAAAGUCAGUCCACUAAUAAAGCCAAUUGUAGUGUCAUUUCAUAACCAAAAAAAGUCAAAGUACCCUUUGGAUAUUUUUCUUCAUAUAUUUCUACACAUACCAACCAAACAGGAAUUAAAGAAGAAAAUCCAUGUUUGACUUCACAAUUAGAGGUAAAGAAUUCUUUGUAGUUCAUCCAAUCAAAUCUGAACAAUUGGGAGCUUAACAUAAGCUACAACACUUAAAUAGCCAGCAACAACAAUCUAAUAAACAUAACAAAAUGGCAACAAUUAUCAUUUUCCUCACGAGACUGUUUUCACUUUGUGUCAUGUUUUCAAGUUAUAUGCUCUUCUCUAGUUCAAGUCGAUCAUAAAUCCGUGUAGGAAAAUAAAUUCGACUUGAAUGAUCAACAAAUGUUUAAAUUUGUCUUCUUUCAAACAAUUUCCAUUAGUAUCAUUCUAAAACUAUAAACAUCAACUUUAUAUGAUAUUUCCAAUGUUUUUAUAAAACAAUUAAGGAGUUAUAUAUCCAAAUGUACCUCGUGUUGCUGUGAAAGAAAUAAUGUUGUCAUCCACUUAGUACAAUUUAUAAACCCAAAAUAUGAAACUUUUGGAUUAAAGCUUUAUAUUAAUUUAUUUGUACUUUAUAGUUAAUUUUAAUUAUAAUUAUUUUGAUAAUAUAAUUUAUAAUUGUAAUUUGUACUAAUAACCUAAACAAUUAACAUCUCCCUAACAAUUUUACCAUUUGUAUCCUCUUUUGGAAUAAUAAGAAUUGAGAGAAAACAAAAUUUGUAUGAACAAUGUUCAUUAUAUUUCUCUCUUGUUGGCUAUAUUAGUGUAACAUCAAUUGGAAGAGUAAAAUUAUUAAAAAAUCAAAUUAAAAUCACAAAAAUAAAAUAAAAAUAAUUUAAUCUUUUUAAAUCUUCAAUGAAUAUCCAAUUAUUACAACAUUCAUUUAUUUAAAAACUAUUUUUAUACUUUUUUUUAAAUGCUAAAAUGCCUUGAAUCAUCUCAAAUGUGUCUAAAAAUAUUUAAAACUUACUAAAUUUAAAUAAAAAAUCAUACCUAAAUUCAAAUCGAAUUAAAUAGGUUUAGAAGUAGGUAAUGGGGUUUUUGCAGGAUUGCACUAUUAAAUGUGAAAGUUCCUUUGGCUAUAGGAGUUACGUAAAUGAAGCUAUACCUCAUUCAUCCCUUCAUCCAUUUCCUAUUUCUAUUUUUACAAAUUCUAUAUUCAUGUGUUCUAAUUUUGAAAGGUAUAUGCCUUGAGCACAACUUUUUUUAAUUCUUGUUAGUUUAUGAGAUAUUUUCACCUUUUUUUAAUAUAAAAAUAUGUUUUAGUUUCUAAUAUUUUAAAUAGACAGGUUCUGUUCUAAUACUUUAUUUGCAAAUUAUGUCUAUUGUUUUUAAUAAUUAUGAAAAUUGCAAUCAAAAUCGAUGAACUAAAAAUUCAACAAUAAUUAAAUCAAAUAAAACGUGAAUAUAUUCAAACAAAAUUAAUAGAUAACAUCAGAUCAACUAAUAGUACUGUAAAUUCAACAAUAAAGGGAAUAAUUAGAAUCUAUAUAAACAAUGAAGAAAGAAUUAAAGACGUAACAAGAGUUGCAUCCAACAGGACCAAUACUGUUUCGAUUACGUUUUGCUACCGCGUCAUGCCGCUGCCUGAAUUUGCCUAUUUGAUGUAAACCCACGGCCCCUUCCACCAUAUUCCCAACAAAAUACUUAUAGUUACCCACAGACAAACAGUAUUCCUUUUUUUAUUAAUUCUCUAAGAGUUAAAUCCUUCUCAAUCAUUAAAAUAUUCAGAUUCAUUUCUCCCCGUUGAAUAGAGGAUAUAACAAAUUCGUUUGGAUAUUUCAGUCUAAGCAGGAGGCAAUAUACUUUAAUAUUAUUGAUUAUUCUUUGAUUUAAAGAAUCAUUCAUCUCAAUUGAAAACACAAAUACCUUUUUAGGAAGAAAUCAAGCUCUGCUUCCGUGUUGCUCUUGUAUUGCUUUUUUUUUUCUAUGUUUUUUUUGUCUGAUUUAUCAUAAUCUUCUUUAACAUCUUUUUCUUGGUUUGAGAGAACGGAUUUAAAAUUUCCCUGUUUUUAUGCAUCUGAUACAAGACCCCCUUCACCUAUGGGUUCUUUUUCUUCUUGAUUUCGAUUCUCUAAUCCAAUAAUUUAUUUUUCGUUUGGUGCUAUAAGGGAGUCCCUUUUUUUAUUUUCAGUAAUAUUUUUAUUAAUGUUCCUAUUUCCAUUAAAAUUGAAAAGAAGUUAUUUUAUUGGUAUGAUCCAUGGUUUAACCUUAUAUGCAUUAUAUAGCAACACAAAUGCUGGGAAGAACCAAAGUUCUAGAUUCGGUAUAGGAUGACUUAGUAUUUCUUAAUUUAGUCCCAUCCAAUCAAAAUGGCUUCCUUCUUUAUUGGAUGGGUUGCUUUCUUAAUCUUGAUAAGUUGUGAAAUAAAAAAAGGUCCAUUUUAUCAAUUAUUUGAUAAUUCUUAACCACAGUCUUAAUAUUUUUGUUACUCUUGGUACUGGUAUCGACCCAGGACUCAAUAUCGACCUUAUUUCUAAGACAAAAAUGAAGAAUUCUUCAAUUAAAAAACUUUUUGUGCGAAAAAUUCCCCAUAGCAUCUAGGAUAUCGCCUUCUCCUAGAUAAUUAUGGAUAGGGAUAUCCCUCAGUGUAUCAAAAAAAUUUUGUUUAUCCAUGUUGUAAUGAUAAGAACUCUCUUCCCUCUUAUUUACUUGGAAUGGUGAUCAUAAGCAUACGGGUCCCUCUUAUCUUGAUAAUUAAUAUAUUUAUAUGAUAAAAAAUCAUAUCCAUAGUGUUUUUUAAAAUUAAAUUUUUUAUAUUUUUGUUCUUGAUUCAAUUUAUAUUCUUGAGUCAGUAAUGAGUUCACUUGAAUUUUUUUUUGUAAUGAAUUAAUCUUUCUUUUUCAUCUGAAUCCUAUUUUGUUAAAUCUUUAUUUUGAGCCAAAUAGUGUUGAGAGUCAUUGUCUUGGUACUAAUUUUAGCCAUCUAUUCUGAACUAAAUUGUAUUGAUAAUGACUCCUUAACUAGUUUUUCCAUUCAUUUAUUCCAAGAUGCCAAACGAUUUUUUGUCUUAACCUAUAAUGAUGUCUUAAUCUGGAAUGAGAUACUCCAUGUUCUUCAAAAUAAUCUUUUAUUCAUUUUUAAGAAAAAGAGAUGUUCCAUGAUAUUGAAGGAUAGGUUUGAAUUAUAAAAACUAAUAACUUGGGUUUGUGAUAAUUUGUAAAAUACAUAUGCUUGUGAGAGGGAGGAUAAGUCACAAAGCUUUUUCAUUUUUAUUUCUAAUUCCUUGCCACGGCCACCUUGGGGAGGGACUUCAUAAUUGUAGCCUCCAUCUUCCAUCCUAUCAGCCAGUUGUCCAUUGUAUCCACCACGUCCACGGCCACGGGAACCUCGCCCUCUGCCUCGACCAUAGCCACGAUUGUGAUUCCCGCCUCCAUCCUCAUACUCAACAUUCCCUCUACUCAUUGGCCUUCUUCUACCAUCUCGACCAUUAUGUGAUCCUACCUUCACCUGAUUAACUGGUAAUGGAGGUUGAUUCCCGAUAGAUGACAUAUCCAAUUCUAUUUUUGAAAGGGUUAUAGUAAUGAUGGACACAUGCCUAGUGGUCUCUGUUAAGAAAUGGCUUAAAAUUGGUAGUGGAUUGUUGUUGUUGGUAGUGGGUUGUUGGUGGUAGUGGAUUAGUGGAUGGUUGUUGGUGUCCAUUUUCAACCACAAAUCUUUGCCAAAGUUUUGGACAAUUAUGUCCUUGAACUCUCUUAUAAAUAGAGAGGUUCAUUAGCCAUAUUGAUCAUCCCAAACCAAGAGAGAGCAAAGCUUGUUCUUUGAAAGCUAGGAUUUUAGCUUUCGGGUUUUCUAUAGGGGUUGAGAGUUGUGAGGUUCUCGGGUUGUGUCUUGAGUGUAAAACACUUGUAAUCUUCAUCUUGUUAUAGUGAAAUUUCUUUUCGCCUCUGCCCGUGGACGUAGGCAUUAAAGCCGAACCACGUAAAUCCUUGUGUUCACUUUAUUUUUCGUUUCGGUCAAUUUACUUGUAGUCAUAUCGGAGUUCUCGAAUCGAUCCUUUCCGCAACAAAUUGGUAUCAGAGCGUAGUUGAAGGAGUGAUAAUAUUUUCUGAAUUGCCCUGUGACUGCAGCUUUGUCUGAUCUUUCACAUCAGGAAGAAAAUAUUAUCAUUCAUUCAAAGGUUCCAAAUUAUGGCUACAAGUGUUUCAUCGACUAAGUAUGAUGUCGAGAAAUUUACCGGGAAAAAUAGUUUCAGUUUAUGGCGCAUCAAGAUGCGGGCAGUGCUGGUUCAACAAGGAUUGCUAAAAGCAUUGUCUGGUAAAGAUAAAUUACCAAGCACGCUUUCGGAAGAGCAAAAGGAUGACAUGCUAGAAAGAGCACAUAGUGCUAUUCUGCUAUGUCUAGGAGAUGAAGUGCUACGAGAAGUAGCGGAUGAGAAAACCGCGUCCGGUUUGUGGCUCCGGUUAGAGAGCAAGUACAUGACGAAGUCAUUGACGAACCGGCUCUACCUCAAGCAAAGACUCUAUGCCCUGAAGAUGGAGGAAGGUACACCUGUUUCCCAGCACCUGGAUAAAUUCAAUUCCAUUAUCAUGGAUUUGAAUAAUAUCGAUAACAAAAUCGAUGAUGAGGACCAAGCAAUAAUUGUUUUGUGUUCUUUGCCUCCCUCGUAUGAGAAUUUUGUUGAUACAAUGAUGUACGGUCGUGAUGACCUGACUCUAGAGGAGGUGAAAAAUGCCUUAAGUUCCAGUGAGUUGAGGAAGAAAAUCACUGGUAAGGUGGUCGAAAACAAUGAAGGCGAAGGCUUGGUUGCUCGAGGAAGAUCCAAGGCAAAGGGUGGAAGUUCAAGUAAAAGCCAUCCUAGAUCGCAGUCCAAGAAGAGAAUACAGUGCUACUACUGUAAGAAGUACGGGCACAUGAAGGUAGAUUGUCCGAAAAGGAAGGAGAAAUCAGAAUCACAGGAGCAACAAAAUGAUCGUGCGAAUGUAGCUGAUGCAGAUUCUUCAAGUGAUGCCGAGAUCGUUCUUGCAGUAUCCGACUCUUACGCUGGUGGGAGAUGGAUUCUUGAUACGGGAGCUACAUUUCAUAUAAGUACUUCGAAAGAUGCAUUCUCAACAUACGAGAAGCAUUCUGGUUCAGUACUAAUGGGAAAUGACCACGCAUGUCAAGUCAUGGGGAUUGGCACAGUUCGUAUAAAGAUGUUUGACGGUAUUGUUAGAACUCUAACUGAUGUUCGGCACAUUCCAGAAAUGAAGAAAAAUUUGAUCUCUUUGAGUACGUUGGACAAGAAAGGCUUUCGGUACUCUGCUGAAGGUGGAGUUCUCAAGGUAUUCUCGGGUGCUUUGACUGUGAUACGUGGUAAUUUGGAGCGGGGCCUUUACUUCCUCGAUGGUUCCUCGGUUACAGGUGUUGCGGGAGUGUCAUCAUCAGAUGAUCUAGAUUCUGACACCACGAAGUUAUGGCAUAUGCGGCUCGGGCAUAUGAGCGAGAGAGGCUUAUCGGUGCUAAGCAAACGAGGAUUAUUGUCUGGGCAGUGUACAGGAAAGUUGAAUUUCUGUGAGCACUGCGUCUUCGGUAAGCAGACUCGGGUAAAGUUCAGCACUGGGAUUCACAAGACAAAAGGCACAGUGGAUUACUUCCAUUCUGACCUUUGGGGGCCUUCUCCGACAAUUUCUAAAGAUGGUUACAGAUAUCUGCUUACCUUUAUCGAUGAUUACUCGAGAAAGGUUUGGGUGUAUUUUCUGAAGAGCAAGUAUGAGGUUCUCAUCAACUUCAAGCAAUUUAAAGCUUUGAUCGAAAAUCAAACAGGAAAGAAGAUCAAGCGAUUCCGGACGGAUAAUGGCUUGGAGUUUUGCUCAGGUGAAUUCAAUGAGUUCUGCAAGAAUGAAGGAAUAGUGAGACACCGCACUGUUCGUCGAACACCACAACAAAAUGGAGUUGCAGAACGCAUGAAUAGAACUCUCUUGGAGCGAGCUCGUUGCAUGCGAUCAAAUGCUGGGCUCGGUGAAGAAUUUUGGGCUGAAGCUGUUAAUACUGCUUGUUAUUUGGUUAACAGAUCUCCGUCAACAGCUAUUGAGCUGAAGACUCCUGAGGAAGUAUGGUCUGGUUCUCCUGCUGAUUACUCUGGUUUAAGAGUGUUUGGCUGCCCUGCGUAUGCUCAUGUAAAUGAGGGAAAACUCAAACCGAGGGCGAAGAAAUGCAUAUUUCUUGGAUACGGCCAAGGGGUGAAAGGAUACAGGUUGUGGUGUCCUGAUCCGGUUUCGUCCAAGUUCAUCAUCAGCAGAGAUGUGACUUUUGAUGAGUCAUCCAUGCUUCGAUCCACCACAAAUUCCCGGGAAAAGGAGGAGUCAGAUAGAAUGGGAGAUCACGGUGUUGAGAAGCAGGUGGAGUGUCAGGUGGACGCUCCAAUUCCUACGGAAGGUACUUCAGUCCAGGAUGAUCAAGUUGAGGUGCAAGAUUCCGAUGAAGAUGAGUCACCUCAAGAAAAACCAUAUAGCAUUGCCACUGGAAGAACGAAGAGACAAAUCAAACCAAAUCCGCGUUACGCUAAUCUGGUGUCUUUCGCGCUCAGUGUGGCGGAGUCCAUUGGUAUAGAACCUUCCAGUUAUAAUGAGGCUGUCACGUGUGAUGAGUCGGCACAGUGGGCAAUUGCUAUGAGUGAGGAGAUAGAAUCUCUUCACAAGAACCAUACUUGGGAGUUGGUUAAGCCGCCAAGUAACCAGAAGAUAGUUGGUUGCAAAUGGGUCUUCAAGAAAAAGGAAGGCAUCCUAGGGAUUGAAGCAACUAGAUUCAAGGCACGAUUGGUUGCUAAAGGCUUCACUCAGAAAGAGGGGAUUGACUACAAUAAAGUUUUCUCCCCAGUCGUAAAGCAUUCUUCCAUUCGUGUAUUACUUGCCAUGGUGGCCAAGUCUGAUCUAGAACUUGAGCAGCUUGACGUAAAAACGGCGUUCUUGCAUGGUGAGCUCGAGGAAACAAUCUACAUGCGUCAACCAGAGGGUUUUACAGUUCCUGGUAAAGAAGACCAUGUCUGUCUAUUAAAGAAGUCUUUAUAUGGAUUGAAACAAUCCCCAAGGCAGUGGUACAAGCGGUUUGAUAGCUUCAUGAUUCAGCAUGGUUACACAAGAUGUGACUAUGAUGCUUGUGUCUAUCAUCGGAAGCUCUCAGAUGGUUCGCACAUUUAUUUGUUGCUGUAUGUUGAUGACAUGUUAAUUGCUUCCAAAAACAUGUCGGAAAUCAACAAGUUAAAGUCGCAGUUGAGUGGUGAGUUCGAGAUGAAGGAUCUGGGUGCUGCCAAGAAAAUUUUGGGCAUGGAUAUUCACAGAGAUCGCAAGGCGGGCAAGCUUCGUGUGUCGCAGAAGAACUACAUUGAAAAGGUUCUUCAACGCUUCGGCAUGGAUAAAGCGAAAACUGUGAGUACUCCGUUGGCACCACAUUUCAAACUAUCUGCAGAGUUGUCACCACAAUCUGAUGAAGAAAAGCAGCAAAUGUCUCACAUUCCAUACUCGAGUGCAGUUGGAAGCGUGAUGUAUGCAAUGGUUUGCACUCGUCCAGACAUUUCACAUGCAGUUAGUGUGGUCAGCAGAUACAUGAGUUGUCCUGGCAAGGAACACUGGCAGGCCGUGAAAUGGAUUCUCAGGUACUUGAGAGGUUCUGCAGAUUUAUGCUUGGUAUAUGAUCAGAGUGACUGCACUAGCAGUGUCACGGGCUAUGUGGACUCUGAUUAUGCUGGAGAUCUGGACAAAAGAAGAUCUCUGACGGGUUAUGUUUUCACUUAUUCUGGAGGAGCCAUUAGUUGGAAAGCUGUGUUACAGUCUACCGUAGCCUUAUCUACGACUGAGGCGGAAUAUAUGGCGUUAGCAGAAGCAGUGAAAGAAGCAUUGUGGAUGAAAGGUCUAGUAAGCAGUUUGGGUUUACAACAGGAUUUCACUGUUGUAUUUUGCGAUAGCCAGAGUGCCAUACAUCUGACUAAAAAUCAGAUGUUUCAUGAACGGACCAAACACAUUGAUGUCAGAUAUCAUUUUGUUCGGGAACAUGUUACGCAAGGUGACAUUGUUAUCAGCAAGGUUGCUACCGAGAAGAAUCCUGCAGAUAUGUUAACUAAGGUGAUCCCUGCAUAUAAGUUCAAGCAUUGCUUGGACUUGAUAGGUAUUCGGGAUUGAUUAGCGCCAGAGAGGCGUUUGGAAGAGGUGAUCCAGUUCACUAUGAUGUUCAGCUUGGUAAAUUUCAAGCCAAGGUGGAGAUUUGUUAAGAAAUGGCUUAAAAUUGGUAGUGGAUUGUUGUUGUUGGUAGUGGGUUGUUGGUGGUAGUGGAUUAGUGGAUGGUUGUUGGUGUCCAUUUUCAACCACAAAUCUUUGCCAAAGUUUUGGACAAUUAUGUCCUUGAACUCUCUUAUAAAUAGAGAGGUUCAUUAGCCAUAUUGAUCAUCCCAAACCAAGAGAGAGCAAAGCUUGUUCUUUGAAAGCUAGGAUUUUAGCUUUCGGGUUUUCUAUAGGGGUUGAGAGUUGUGAGGUUCUCGGGUUGUGUCUUGAGUGUAAAACACUUGUAAUCUUCAUCUUGUUAUAGUGAAAUUUCUUUUCGCCUCUGCCCGUGGACGUAGGCAUUAAAGCCGAACCACGUAAAUCCUUGUGUUCACUUUAUUUUUCGUUUCGGUCAAUUUACUUGUAGUCAUAUCGGAGUUCUCGAAUCGAUCCUUUCCGCAACAGUCUCCAAUGGAACAAGUCUUUCUUCCAAAGGCUCCCCCAUACCAGUUAUAUUCGUGGAUCCAAUUGAUGUAAUCUGAUGAAGACCCACAAUUCUUUUCUUAACUAACUCUACAAUAGUUACAGCCUGUUAAUGGCUUUUCCCAUUGCCUUAAACACUAUUUGAUUGGAGCCGUUUUCCUGAAGCAAAGUCAAGGCGUAACUGAUAUAAUUGCGCAUACUGCCUUGAUUGCUGAUCCCAAUCUCCUCCUCGUCAAUGGGUGUCUCUGCUUUCGGCCUCUCCACACUCUGGUAUCCAUCUUUAAUGCUUUGUUAAUGGAGGAUUAAUUGGGAGGGUAAGCUACACUAAGAGGGACCCCUCUUCUACACCUUAUUUCUCUUUCUUUUACACCCUAAUGCCUUGGCACAUAGGGUGUAUAAUAUAUAUACUUUAGUUUUAGAUUUGUGAUUGUGAAUCGAAUUCCGAUUCCGAUUACUGUUAGGAAUGGAGUUCUUACUGUUUUUAUAUAAUUAGUACACAAACCUAGGGGUAUAGAAUUAGGACAUAAACUUUAAUGUUGAGUCCAGGGGUUCGCAGGGAGCCCAGCUCGGAAAAAGUUUUUUAUUUAGAUUUUUCAAAAUUUUUAAAACUUUAAAUUAGUAAAAGUAAAAUUUUAUUUUAACCCUUCUUAAAAAUGAUAAAAAAUUAAUUUAAUCUUUUUAAAAUUAUAAAAAUAUAGACUAUUAAAAUGAUGAAAUUACAUUUUUACUAUUAUAAAAAUUACAAUUUAAUUUCGAUCCUAAAAAAAUUUCUAACUUAACCUUUGUUGAGCCAUUGAGCCCAAAUUGUAAUGUCAAAUAAUUUAAUUAAAUAAUGGACUUCUCUUUCCUUCCUAGAGAUUCUUUCUUAUAUUAAGAAUGCAGAUUUAACCAUUAAAUAGAAUACAAAGAAAAUGAUCUAAACUAUUGGGUGUAAACAAAAAUUUCUAAAGAUUUUAUAUUAAUUUCUUGCACAUAUAUAAAUUGUUUUCUUAAUAGUUAUGUAUAAAAAAAAGUUUAAAAAUAAAGAUUAAAUGUCGAUUGAGUCUUUAACUCGAUUGGUAUGAGUAUUAUUGUCAAUGCAAGAGGAUGUGGGUUCGAGUACGCUGAAGUAUAUUAUCCUCUUAUUUAUGGGUUGAGAAUGAACUAUUGGUAGUUCUAGACAUUGUGUCAAAAAGAACAGAUAUGGUCAAAAUAUAUAAUGAGAUUGUUCAAAAAUAAAAAUAAAAAUAAAAACAAAAAAUUUGGAGGUAUUUCCCAUAUCUAUUGAAUUCUUAAUUACUAAUUACUACUAGACAGAUCUAUAGAAAAUACUAAAGACUUUGGAGGUAUUUCAAGGAGUUCAUCUUCACUUUCAAGCAUAUUCAAAACUUUGGUCAUUGAAGGACGAUAUAUGGGCUUCGUCUGUAUGCACCAAAAGGCUACAAUUAUCAUUUUCCUCACAAUUUUGGUAUCAUUUUCACUCAAGUCUUCAAGCUUCAGGUUCUCCCCUAAUUCAAAUUGAUCAUAAAUCCAUGUAGGGAAAUAAUUUUGACUUGAAUGGUCAACAGAAUCUUUCAAAUUUUUUCUCCUUCCUACAAUUUCCAUUAGCAUCAUUCCAAAACUAUAAAUAUCAGCUUUAUACGAUAUAUUUCCAAUAUUUUUAUAAAACAAUUCAGGAGACAUAUAUCCAAAUGUACCACGUGCUGCUGUGAGAGAAAUAAUACUAUCAUCCACUGGAUAUAAUUUUGCGAGACCAAAAUCUGAAACUUUUGGAUUAAAAUUGUCAUCUAAAAGAAUGAUAUGGGGCUUGAUAUCAAAAUGCAAAAUCUUCAUGGCACAACCAUUAUGUAAAUAUUCAAUGCCCCGACCCACUCCAACUACUAUCUCAAACAUCUUUUGCCAACUCAAGCUGUUAUUUCCUGUUGAAAAUAUAAAUUUGUCUAACGACCCAUUUGUCAUGAAAUCAUAAACAAGAGCUUGUUUUUUUCCCUCCACACAAAAUCCAAUAAGUUGCACCACGUUCACAUGAUGAAUCCUUCCAAUAGUUGCUACUUCAUUGAUAAAAUCUUGGCCAUUACCUUUUGAUUCCUUUAGCAAUUUUAUUGCAACGAGAUUACCACUUCGAAGUUUACCUUUAAACACAGUACCAUAACCUCCCUGACCUAAUUUAUCGUUGAAACCUCCUGUUAUUCUCUUUAAUUCAGCAUAUGAAUAUCUUAUAGGCAUAAAAUUGGUUUGACUUUGAAGAAAGUUCUCAAUCAAAUCAUCUACCGACAGAUGUCUUCUUCUUAAUUUUCGUAUAAUAAGAACAGCCAAACAAGAUAUCCCCAAAAGUGUUCGAGCUAAUAUAAUCCCUAUUUUCCAAGAAAAAGUAAGUAAAAGAAUCAAUCCACACCGAUAUGUAUAUAUUAGUUAUUAAAACUUGGUUUGAUUAAUGCUUAUUUUAUUUUUUUGUAUUGUUUGCUAUUUGUUGAAUCUUUAAUUUAUUUUUUACUUUUAAACUUUUCAUUUUCUAUUGAAAUAAGAAACAGUAGAUGGAACCUAAUUUAAGCAAUGUGCAAAUGCUCUAUUUUUUCAAAACAAACUCCGAAACAUAAUUUUUAUUUUGACCAUAGUAUCAUAAAUGUACCGAUUUAUACAUACCUGUUAUUGUAACACACAAAAUCUGUACUCCUGUUAAAAGAAAGAUUAAAAAGUAAUUGUUACUUGAAUGCAGAUUAAACAAAUAAUUUUCCUAGCAUUUAUAUACUUUUACAAAUCUACUCAAUAAGACUGCUUGACUCGUUGAAUUUUGAUUUUACACAAUUAAUUUAAUAUAUUUUAAAAUAUAUUUAAAUUAAUAUUUAAAUAUAAUUCAAGAAUCAUAUUGACUAAUAAAUUUAUGAAUUAAUGUGCCACAUGCUCAAUCCAUAAUGAGUGAGCAAUCGUUUCAAAUCAGUAAUACUAAUAAUCAUAUUAUAACUUUUAUAUCUGAGAGCUAAUUAAGCGAAAAAGUGGGAAAAAAACUCACAUAUAAAUAUUAAGGAAAUCUGGAAAACAUACCUCUACUAGGUGCAUCAACGAAGUAACCCUCUAUAGAAGUGCCACGGAGAAUUAAGGCCGUGUUGCUUCGUAUAUAUAAGCUAAUCCCAUACAUCAACCCCAAGAACAACGAUCCCACUCUGGAUUACGCAAACAAAAGAUAAACACUAAAAUUACGAAUAAAUAUAAACAAUACUAAGUUCCAUUGAAAAAAAAAUAAGAAAAGUGCUCACACGUGAGAAACUGAGUUCCAUUGCUGCCAACCAUCAUCACCAACCUUAGCAUCAUUAGGAAAGUACCAUUUGAAUUGGGUGCCCUUCAACAACCUUUGGUAAAUAUCAAAAGUAGAGACGCCAGUGAUAUCGGAAGGCGUAAUUGGAACCAAUGCUUCAAAUGUGCAUGAAGGAUGGAAAUCAGAGGGCGCAGCUUCAGUAUGCAAAAAAUAAAAGUAACCAUUAGCUGCAUCUGAAGGAGAAGUAGAGCAACGAGAAGCAUCGAUGUAAUUAGCCGAAGAGUUUAUCAUCUUGGUCUUGCAAUUUACCACAUAAAUCUCUCCACGAUCAUUCAUAUCAGCUCUAUUUAGGCCUAGUACCCCUAAAGAUGGGUUCAGCCAGGGGGAGGAACUAUGAGGAACGGAGCAGUUAUCAUCCCCUAGACUCGCAUCCACGAGCAGAAUAGUUUGGUUGACAUAAGAGAUGUGUUUAAUAAGGAAAUUCCCUUUUUUCAUAGGGAAAAUGGUGCGGUUAUUCUCACACACUAGCUCUCCCCCAUUAAAAUUAGGACCACAGCUAUGGGAUUGGGUUCUUAAUCCAAAAGGGAAACUGAUGUUAAGGUUUCCACAGAAAGUAGAGCCACAAUGCUUGUCUCCUAUGCCUCUACAACAUGAAGGCCAAAGUGAGAUAACAAAGCAAGGAGUAGGGGGCAAAAUGAUGCAAGUUUUUGUCUUAGCAUCCCUAAUAUAGCUUAACUAGUUUCAGUUCAAUUUGAGAGAUGGAGAUUUAAUAAACAACAAAGAUUAAAUAUGACUUUAUCACCAAAAACCCAAUAAUUAAUUAAUUAAUAGAAUGAAUUUUAUUUUACAAUUGGGUUCAUUUGACUGAGUGGAUAGGGGGUGGCUUCUACUAUACAAGUCAACGGCACACCACCCACGACUAAAACCAAAAGAUUGCUGCUGUUUGUUUUUUUGGUCGAAUUCAAGAGUUUGACUUUGACUAUAUGCUAUUAUUGUUUUUUUUCUAACACCGAAAUUAUUGUUAUUAGAAUGUUGACUUGGUUGAUGUUGAUUUACACCUAACCUAAGCCCUCCCUUAUGGACAUAAUUGUAAUUUUAUUUUAGUUUCUUUUUCUUGAUAAUAUUAUUUGAAUUUUAUGCUAAAUUUUGUCUCCUUUUAAUUACAAUACAUAUUUCAUUAAAUCAAAAUAAACACAGUACUAUGGACAGUAGUUGAGCUGCUGUCCAUUGCUUGGGAGAAGGUUUUCUAGAAAGUGGCUAUCGAAUAUGACAACAGAACUGAGAUCAAUAUGCUAACUGAUGAUACAGUGGGCGUGAACAAUUUGCCACUGUAAGAACUGUCAAACAACCAUGCAAGAAAUUUAACAACAAAGAUUAAAUUAAACAAAAAAUAAAUAUUUUAUCUAUGUAAUUAUUUUAUAAUUGAAAUUUUGAGUUUAGAUGAGAUUGAAGAAGAAUUCCUACUAAGGUAUAAAAUAGCAGACGUUUACACAUAAAUAAAUAUUGGUCUACAUUUCACAUAUUAAUUUUAGGAGAGUCUUGUCUAUUUAUCUUCAUAGCCAUUCCAGGGCAGCAAACGAAAGCAAAUUACCCUUUGAAAUAUUACACAACUUGCAUUACGCACAGUCUCGUGUCUGUUUAAUUCUUAUUCACUAUCAUUACAUGACAUGUCCACAGAAAAUAUCAAAGACUUCGGAGGUAUCUCAAGGAGCUCGUCUUCACUUUCAAGCAUCUUCAAUACUUUGGUCAUUGAAGGACGAUGUAUGGGCUUCGUUUGUAUGCACCAGAAAGCAACCAUUAUCAUUUUUCUCAUGAUGCUGUUUUCACUUUCUGUCAUGUCUUCAAGCUCUAUGUUCUCCCCUAGUUGAAGUCUAUCAUAAACCCAUGUAGGAAAAUAAACUUGACUUGAAUGCUCGGCAGAAGCGUUUAAAUUUUUUCUCUUUCCCACAAUUUCCAUUAGCAUCAUUCCAAAACUAUAAACAUCAGCUUUAUACGAGAUACCUCCAAUACUUUUAUAAAAUAAUUCAGAAGCCAUAUAUCCAAAUGUACCAUGUGCUGCUGUGAGAGAAAUAAUACUGUUAUUCACUGGAUACAAUUUUGCUAGACCAAAAUCUGAAACUUUUGGAUUAAAGUUGUCAUCUAAAAGAAUGUUAUGUGGCUUGAUAUCAAAAUGUAAAAUCUUCAUGGCACAACCAUUAUGUAAAUAUUCAAUACCUAGACCCACGCCAACUACUAUCUCAAACAUCUUUUCCCAACUCAAACUGCUACUUCCUGAUGAAAAUAUAAAUUUGUCUAAAGACCCAUUUAUCAUGAAAUCAUAAACAAGAGCUUGUUUUUUCCUCUCCACGCAAAAUCCAAUAAGUUGCACUACAUUCACAUGAUGAAUCCUUCCAAUAGUUGUAACUUCAUUGAUAAAAUCUUGGCCAUUACCUUUUGAUUCCUUUAGCAAUUUUACUGCAACGAGUUUGCCACUUUGAAGUUUGCCUUUAAACACAGUGCCGAAACCUCCCUAGCCUAAUUUAUUCUUGAAACCUCCUGUUAUUUUUUUUAUUUCAGCAUACGAAUACCUUAUCGGCAUAAAAUUCUUUUGACUUUGAAGAAAGUUUUCAAUCGCAUCAUCCACCGACAAAUGUCUUCUUCUUAAUUUACGUAUAAUAAGAACAGUCAAACAAGAUAUCCCCAAAAGUGUCCGAACUAAUAUAAUCCCUGUUUUCAAAGAAAAAUAAGUAAAAGAAUCAAACCACAAUUCUGAAAUAUGUAUAUAUUAUUUAUUAAUUCUUCGUAAUUUCUUGAAUCUUUAAUUUACUUUUUACUUUCAAACUUUCAUUUUCUAUUGAAAGAAGAAACUGUUGCGGAAAGGAUCGAUUCGAGAACUCCGAUAUGACUACAAGUAAAUUGACCGAAACGAAAAAUAAAGUGAACACAAGGAUUUACGUGGUUCGGCUUUAAUGCCUACGUCCACGGGCAGAGGCGAAAAGAAAUUUCACUAUAACAAGAUGAAGAUUACAAGUGUUUUACACUCAAGACACAACCCGAGAACCUCACAACUCUCAACCCCUAUAGAAAACCCGAAAGCUAAAAUCCUAGCUUUCAAAGAACAAGCUUUGCUCUCUCUUGGUUUGGGAUGAUUAAUAUGGCUAAUGAACCUCUCUAUUUAUAAGAGAGUUCAAGGACAUAAUUGUCCAAAACUUUGGCAAAGAUUUGUGGUUGAAAAUGGACACCAACAACCAUCCACUAAUCCACUACCACCAACAACCCACUACCAACAACAACAAUCCACUACCAAUUUAAAGCCAUUUCUUAACAAAUCUCCACCUUGGCUUGAAAUUUACCAAGCUGAACAUCAUAGUGAAUUCCUCGAACUGGAUCACCUCUUCCAAACGCCUCUCUGGCGCUAAUCAAUCCCGAAUACCUAUCAAGUCCAAGCAAUGCUUGAACUUAUAUGCAGGGAUCACCUUAGUUAACAUAUCUGCAGGAUUCUUCUCGGUAGCAACCUUGCUGAUAACAAUGUCACCUUGCGUAACAUGUUCCCGAACAAAAUGAUAUCUGACAUCAAUGUGUUUGGUCCGUUCAUGAAACAUCUGAUUUUUAGUCAGAUGUAUGGCACUCUGGCUAUCGCAAAAUACAACAGUGAAAUCCUGUUGUAAACCCAAACUGCUUACUAGACCUUUCAUCCACAAUGCUUCUUUCACUGCUUCUGCUAACGCCAUAUAUUCCGCCUCAGUCGUAGAUAAGGCUACGGUAGACUGUAACACAGCUUUCCAACUAAUGGCUCCUCCAGAAUAAGUGAAAACAUAACCCGUCAGAGAUCUUCUUUUGUCCAGAUCUCCAGCAUAAUCAGAGUCCACAUAGCCCGUGACACUGCUAGUGCAGUCACUCUGAUCAUAUACCAAGCAUAAAUCUGCAGAACCUCUCAAGUACCUGAGAAUCCAUUUCACGGCCUGCCAGUGUUCCUUGCCAGGACAACUCAUGUAUCUGCUGACCACACUAACUGCAUGUGAAAUGUCUGGACGAGUGCAAACCAUUGCAUACAUCACGCUUCCAACUGCACUCGAGUAUGGAAUGUGAGACAUUUGCUGCUUUUCUUCAUCAGAUUGUGGUGACAACUCUGCAGAGAGUUUGAAAUGUGGUGCCAACGGAGUACUCACAGUUUUCGCUUUAUCCAUGCCGAAGCGUUGAAGAACCUUUUCAAUGUAGUUCUUCUGCGACACACGAAGCUUGCCCGCCUUGCGAUCUCUGUGAAUAUCCAUGCCCAAAAUUUUCUUGGCAGCACCCAGAUCCUUCAUCUCGAACUCACCACUCAACUGCGACUUUAACUUGUUGAUUUCCGACAUGUUUUUGGAAGCAAUUAACAUGUCAUCAACAUACAGCAACAAAUAAAUGUGCGAACCAUCUGAGAGCUUCCGAUGAUAGACACAAGCAUCAUAGUCACAUCUUGUGUAACCAUGCUGAAUCAUGAAGCUAUCAAACCGCUUGUACCACUGCCUUGGGGAUUGUUUCAAUCCAUAUAAAGACUUCUUUAAUAGACAGACAUGGUCUUCUUUACCAGGAACUGUAAAACCCUCUGGUUGACGCAUGUAGAUUGUUUCCUCGAGCUCACCAUGCAAGAACGCCGUUUUUACGUCAAGCUGCUCAAGUUCUAGAUCAGACUUGGCCACCAUGGCAAGUAAUACACGAAUGGAAGAAUGCUUUACGACUGGGGAGAAAACUUCAUUGUAGUCAAUCCCCUCUUUCUGAGUGAAGCCUUUAGCAACCAAUCGUGCCUUGAAUCUAGUUGCUUCAACCCCUAGGAUGCCUUCCUUUUUCUUGAAGACCCAUUUGCAACCAACUAUCUUCUGGUUACUUGGCGGCUUAACCAACUCCCAAGUAUGGUUCUUGUGAAGAGAUUCUAUCUCCUCACUCAUAGCAAUUGCCCACUGUGCCGACUCAUCACACGUGACAGCCUCAUUAUAACUGGAAGGUUCUAUACCAAUGGACUCCGCCACACUGAGCGCGAAAGACACCAGAUUAGCGUAACGCGGAUUUGGUUUGAUUUGUCUCUUCGUUCUUCCAGUGGCAAUGCUAUAUGGUUUUUCUUGAGGUGACUCAUCUUCAUCGGAAUCUUGCACCUCAACUUGAUCAUCCUGGACUGAAGUACCUUCCGUAGGAAUUGGAGCGUCCACCUGACACUCCACCUGCUUCUCAACACCGUGAUCUCCCAUUCUAUCUGACUCCUCCUUUUCCCGGGAAUUUGUGGUGGAUCGAAGCAUGGAUGACUCAUCAAAAGUCACAUCUCUGCUGAUGAUGAACUUGGACGAAACCGGAUCAGGACACCACAACCUGUAUCCUUUCACCCCUUGGCCGUAUCCAAGAAAUAUGCAUUUCUUCGCCCUCGGUUUGAGUUUUCCCUCAUUUACAUGAGCAUACGCAGGGCAGCCAAACACUCUUAAACCAGAGUAAUCAGCAGGAGAACCAGACCAUACUUCCUCAGGAGUCUUCAGCUCAAUAGCUGUUGACGGAGAUCUGUUAACCAAAUAACAAGCAGUAUUAACAGCUUCAGCCCAAAAUUCUUCACCGAGCCCAGCAUUUGAUCGCAUGCAACGAGCUCGCUCCAAGAGAGUUCUAUUCAUGCGUUCUGCAACUCCAUUUUGUUGUGGUGUUCGACGAACAGUGCGGUGUCUCACUAUUCCUUCAUUUUUGCAGAACUCAUUGAAUUCACCUGAGCAAAACUCCAAGCCAUUAUCCGUCCGGAAUCGCUUGAUCUUCUUUCCUGUUUGAUUUUCGAUCAAAGCUUUAAAUUGCUUGAAGUUGAUGAGAACCUCAUACUUGCUCUUCAGAAAAUACACCCAAACCUUUCUCGAGUAAUCAUCGAUAAAGGUAAGCAGAUAUCUGUAACCACCUUUAGAAAUUGUCGGAGAAGGCCCCCAAAGGUCAGAAUGGAAGUAAUCCACUGUGCCUUUUGUCUUGUGAAUCCCAGUGCUGAACUUUACCCGAGUCUGCUUACCGAAGACGCAGUGCUCACAGAAAUUCAACUUUCCUGUACACUGCCCAGACAAUAAUCCUCGUUUGCUUAGCACCGAUAAGCCUCUCUCGCUCAUAUGCCCGAGCCGCAUAUGCCAUAACUUCGUGGUGUCAGAAUCUAGAUCAUCUGAUGAUGACACUCCCGCAACACCUGUAACCGAGGAACCAUCGAGGAAGUAAAGGCCCCGCUCCAAAUUACCACGUAUCACAGUCAAAGCACCCGAGAAUACCUUGAGAACUCCACCUUCAGCAGAGUACCGAAAGCCUUUCUUGUCCAACGUACUCAAAGAGAUCAAAUUUUUCUUCAUUUCUGGAAUGUGCCGAACAUCAGUUAGAGUUCUAACAAUACCGUCAAACAUCUUUAUACGAACUGUGCCAAUCCCCAUGACUUGACAUGCGUGGUCAUUUCCCAUUAGUACUGAACCAGAAUGCUUCUCGUAUGUUGAGAAUGCAUCUUUCGAAGUACUUAUAUGAAAUGUAGCUCCCGUAUCAAGAAUCCAUCUCCCACCAGCGUAAGAGUCGGAUACUGCAAGAACGAUCUCGGCAUCACUUGAAGAAUCUGCAUCAGCUACAUUCGCACGAUCAUUUUGUUGCUCCUGUGAUUCUGAUUUCUCCUUCCUUUUCGGACAAUCUACCUUCAUGUGCCCGUACUUCUUACAGUAGUAGCACUGUAUUCUCUUCUUGGACUGCGAUCUAGGAUGGCUUUUACUUGAACUUCCACCCUUUGCCUUGGAUCUUCCUCGAGCAACCAAGCCUUCGCCUUCAUUGUUUUCGACCACCUUACCAGUGAUUUUCUUCCUCAACUCACUGGAACUUAAGGCAUUUUUCACCUCCUCUAGAGUCAGGUCAUCACGACCGUACAUCAUUGUAUCAACAAAAUUCUCAUACGAGGGAGGCAAAGAACACAAAACAAUUAUUGCUUGGUCCUCAUCAUCGAUUUUGUUAUCGAUAUUAUUCAAAUCCAUGAUAAUGGAAUUGAAUUUAUCCAGGUGCUGGGAAACAGGUGUACCUUCCUCCAUCUUCAGGGCAUAGAGUCUUUGCUUGAGGUAGAGCCGGUUCGUCAAUGACUUCGUCAUGUACUUGCUCUCUAACCGGAGCCACAAACCGGACGCGGUUUUCUCAUCCGCUACUUCUCGUAGCACUUCAUCUCCUAGACAUAGCAGAAUAGCACUAUGUGCUCUUUCUAGCAUGUCAUCCUUUUGCUCUUCCGAAAGCGUGCUUGGUAAUUUAUCUUUACCAGACAAUGCUUUUAGCAAUCCUUGUUGAACCAGCACUGCCCGCAUCUUGAUGCGCCAUAAACUGAAACUAUUUUUCCCGGUAAAUUUCUCGACAUCAUACUUAGUCGAUGAAACACUUGUAGCCAUAAUUUGGAACCUUUGAAUGAAUGAUAAUAUUUUCUUCCUGAUGUGAAAGAUCAGACAAAGCUGCAGUCACAGGGCAAUUCAGAAAAUAUUAUCACUCCUUCAACUACGCUCUGAUACCAAUUUGUUGCGGAAAGGAUCGAUUCGAGAACUCCGAUAUGACUACAAGUAAAUUGACCGAAACGAAAAAUAAAGUGAACACAAGGAUUUACGUGGUUCGGCUUUAAUGCCUACGUCCACGGGCAGAGGCGAAAAGAAAUUUCACUAUAACAAGAUGAAGAUUACAAGUGUUUUACACUCAAGACACAACCCGAGAACCUCACAACUCUCAACCCCUAUAGAAAACCCGAAAGCUAAAAUCCUAGCUUUCAAAGAACAAGCUUUGCUCUCUCUUGGUUUGGGAUGAUUAAUAUGGCUAAUGAACCUCUCUAUUUAUAAGAGAGUUCAAGGACAUAAUUGUCCAAAACUUUGGCAAAGAUUUGUGGUUGAAAAUGGACACCAACAACCAUCCACUAAUCCACUACCACCAACAACCCACUACCAACAACAACAAUCCACUACCAAUUUAAAGCCAUUUCUUAACAGAAACAGUUGAUGAAGCCUAAUUUAAGCAAUGUGCAAAUGCUCUAUUUUUCCAAAACAAACUCCAAAGCAUAGUUUUUAUUUUGACCAUAGUAUAAAAAGUGUACCCAGUUAUAAAUACCUGUUAUUGUAACAAAAAAAAUCUGUAUUCCUGUUAAAAGGCAAAUAAAAAAAUGGAAUUAUUAGUUGAAUGGAUAGUAGGAACUAGGAAAGCAAAAGAGAAAUUCAUUACUUAAAAAAUAUAUAAGUAAAUAAAUUUUUUUUAUAUAAAACUACACAAAGAUUAUAUACUGAUUCAAAGUACCUUUACUAGGUGGAGAAGUAGCAGGUGGGAGGACAAGAGCCAUCAUGCUUUCUGCAUAUAGUAAAAGCAGACCAACUAACACCCAGAACAACGAUUGUAGUCUGGAAUAUUGAACAAAACACAUUAAAAUUUUUUUGGUUAAUCAGUGCUCCAUAAGACAAUGAAUUAAUAGGACAUAUUAGCAAUUAUGUUGUUGUAGACCAAAUUUUAAUUUGAUUUAUAUAUUAUUGUUGCAAUCAUUCAGAAGAUGCAAGUUUAAAUAUGGGAUUUAAUUUAAGCAUAAUAUAAAAAAUAUAUAUUUAUUAAAAGAAAAACAAAAGGAGGCUAUGUGAUUGUGAAUACUAAAAAAAGAAUACUUACGCGUUAACAACUGAGCCCCAAUGCAGUUUAGAUUGAAGACUCCAUGUAAUUUGGGUGCCCAUCCUCAGCCUUCUGUAAAUAUCAAAAGUACAGAGGCCAUUUAUGUUUUGAAGACUGAUGGGAACCAGGGCUUCAACAGUGCAAGAGGGAUGGAAAGCAGAGUGUGCAGUUCCUCCAUCCAAAAAAUAAAAGUAAUUCUUAUUUGUUGGGGGACAAGAAGAGCAACGACAAGCAUUGAUGUAGUUAGCCCCACUCCACGACUUAUUCAUCUUCGUACUGCAGUUCAUGACAAACAUCUCUUCAUAUGUAAAUGUAUCGAAUUCAAACUCAGUAUCAAGAUAUGUAUAAGAUGUUGCUCCUAUUUGAGGGAAUUUUCUACUUGUAGGGGAGCCGAAAGGAAGGGAACUAAGAGGAAUAGAGCAGUCAUCUUUGUCCACAUUCACAUCAACAAUAUGAAUAGUUUGGUUAUCAUAAAAGAUGUGUUGGACAUAAAAGUUCCCUCGAUCCAUAGGGAAGAUGGCAUGGUUAUUGUCGCACAGCAGCUCAAAUCUCUUAAGACCACAGCUUUGAGGCUCGGUUGUUAAUCGAAAAGGGUAACGGAUGCUAAGAUUUCCACACAGAGUAAAUCCACAAGGCGUGUUUAUGCUUCUAGCGGUAGAAGCAUGAGGAAAGGAAGAUAAAGCAAGGGCUAACAGGCAAAGUAAUAGAAGUUUUGGUGUUGCCAUCCUAAAGUUUCAGUGGGAGAGACGGAAGAAUUUAAUACAGGCUUUUAAGAACAAAGAUUAAAUAAAACUAAAUAUGUAUUGUCUCUGCAAUUGCUUUAUAAAUGAGAAUUUGAAUCUCAAUCGACUUGAAAGAUACUAAAGAAAAAUGUAUAAACUAACAAUAACGGGUUUAAGAACAAAAAAAUGAAUUUGAUGAGCACUUAAAUAAGACAUAUAUUAUAUAUUUAUUUUGAGUAAUCUUAAAGUCAUUUUAAGGCUGCAAUUGAAAGCAAAUUCUCCUUCUAAACGGUGCAUAACUUGCAAUACAUAAUAUUAAUUCAAUAAUCAUUCAUCAUUACAGGACAUGUCCACAGAAAAUAGAAAAGACUUGGGAGGUAUUUCAAGGAGCUCUUCUUCACUUUCAAGCAUCUUCAAAACUUUGGCCAUUGUAGGACGAUGUAUGGGCUUCGUCUGUAUGCACCAAAAUGCAACGAUUAUCAUUUUCCUCACAAUUUUAUUUACAUUUUCUGUCAUGUUUUCAAGCUCUAUGUUCUCUCCUAAUUCAAAUUGAUGAUAAAUCCAUAACGGAAAAUAAAUUUGACUUGAAUUGUCAGCAGAAGUAUUCAGAUUUUUCCUCCUUCCCACAAUUUCCAUUAACAUCAUUCCAAAGCUAUAAACAUCAGCUUUAUACGAGAUACCACCAAGAUUUUUAUAAAAUAAUUCAGGCGCCAUAUAUCCUAGUGUACCUCGUGCUGCUGUGAGAGAAAUAAUGCUAUCAUCCACUGAAUGCAACUUUGCAAGGCCAAAAUCUGAAAGUUUUGGAUUGAAGUUUUCAUCUAAUAGAAUGUUAUGUGGCUUGAUGUCAAAAUGUAAAAUCUUCAUAGCACAACCAUUAUGUAAAUAUUCAAUACCUCGACCAACUCCAACUGCUAUCUCAAACAUCUUCUGCCAACUCAAGCUGCUAUUUGUUGAAAAUAUAAAUUUGUCUAAAGACCCAUUUGUCAUGAAAUCAUAGACAAGAGCUUGUUUUU
rnacentral:lncRNA from 1 species